rnacentral:lncRNA from 1 species
GUUAGUAUAUAUGUGUGAAAAAUUGUAGUGGCAAGAAACUUUUUUUAACCCUAUGUAAAGAAAAUGUUUAAAAACUAAAUUGGUUUGAGAACAUGUUUUCUAUUUUUAAUUACAAAAUUAAGUGUUAGAAGAAGAACAGCUACGCCGACAUGGUCGACAAUUUAACAAAAGUUCCAUAUCACAAUAAAUAUCUACUUAGCAUAUGUUUGAAACUACGAUGAGAUUACUCUCAACACACGACCACCAAAAACUUAUAUCCUUAGCUUCAGGUUUUUUACGGUAAAACAAAAUGGGAAACAAGUAUUAAGAAUUAACCCUUCAAAGAAAGUAUUAAGAAUUAUGAUACAUAACAUAAAUAGUGGAAGUCAACAAAGCAUUUUUGAUGACAUUAUUACUAGUAUUAAUUUUAUUUUUUUUUGAGGGGAAAGUAUUAUUAUAUUAUAUUAUUAUAUGCGUUUAAUGGAGAUCUAAUGUCGGUGUAAAAUUAUUUUACCGUCGGUAAGACCAAAAAUAAAUAAAUUAUUUUACCAUGACAACUAUGACAAUUCACCAUACUACCAAAUAAGCCCAUUUAAAAACAGUUUUUCAAUACUUGACCAGAAAAACUAGUAUUUUUUAAAAGUAACAUCAAAUAUUUGACUUGUUGAUUGUCAAGUGUAUAUCCUCUUUUCUUUUAGUGUUAUGUUAACUUGUAUCCUAAGAGUAUAAGAUAAGAAACUAAAUGUAGAGAUUUAACUUUGAAAUUUGUACAUCAUAAUUUUUUUUAAUGACACAUUGUGCAACAUAAUCUUAAAAUCUUUUUUUUUCUAAAGGAUAAUCUUAAAAUCUUAAAAACUUAUAUUUUCUUUUAUUAUAUAUAUAUUGGAUUAUUUGUUACUGUGUUUUUUAUAUAAUUUUUUUUUUAUGAGAAACAGUAAUUUUUUAAAAUUAUUUUUAAUAGCUUCUUAUACUAAUUUUUAAUAGGCUUAAUUGCACUUUUGGACCGCUAUCUUUNNNNNNNNNNNNNNNNNNNNNNNNNNNNNNNNNNNNNNNNNNNNNNNNNNNNNNNNNNNNNNNNNNNNNNNNNNNNNNNNNNNNNNNNNNNNNNNNNNNNGAUGCCACGUCAGCGUUGACCGAGUCAACAAUGAAUUUGGGGUCCAAAACUGCCAAAGAAUCAAAACAUAAGGGGCUGUUUUGUAUUUAAAUUAGUUAGGGGUCCAUAACCGCAACUUUUGAAAAGAUAGGGGUAUAAAAGUGCAAUUAAGCCUUUUUAAUAACCUAAUUGAACUAAGUGAAUGUCCAUCAUGUUAGUAAUUUGUGAAACGAAUCAAUUAUUAUGAGCAGGUGGUGAAACAAAGUAUGAUUUGCACAAAGUGGACUUAGUAGAUGAUGUUAACUUUGCUUACAACUACAGCAUAGUUGGUGGUGGUGGACUUCCAGACACAGUGGAGAAGAUCUCCUUUGAGUCUAAAUUGUCUGCAGGGCCAGAUGGAGGAUCCAUUGCAAAGCUUACUGUGAAAUACUUCACCAAAGGUGAUGCUGCACCUAGUGAAGAGGAAAUCAAGGGUGGCAAAGCUAGGGGUGAUGGUCUUUUCAAGGCUCUUGAAGGUUACGUUUUGGCAAAUCCUGAUUACUAAAGCAUAUAGCUAAUUGCUUGCUUGCUUUAUACAUGGUGUGUUGUGAUGCAUUUUAUUAUAUCAUGUGGGCUUGAUUUGGUUGCCAAAUGUAAUUUUCUAUUUUCCGUUUGCUGAAGUUUGAGAUUGUAAGUCAUAUGUGUACCUCCCUUCAAGAAAUUAUAAUAAUACUUCAUCUAUUCAUUUUUACUUUUUUUUUAAAAAAAUAAAAAUUGUAUGCAACUAUUUAUAUGUGGCUUUCGAAUUUUAAGGUUAUUGUUAGAACGAAAACUAAUAACUGAAGAUUAAAUAAGAGAACGAAAGAAAAAACAAUGAACAUACAAUAUUUUUUAACACAGUUCAAUCAAUUGUACCUACCUAUGUGACUAUAGAUCAACUAUUGUUCUAUUUCUAUUACUGUGACAAGAAUUAGGGUUUCAUAUUACAAGCUGUAUAUAUGAAUUAUAUGUUAAGAGUCCCACAUCGGUUAGGAGUUGGCCUGACAAUUUAUUUAUAAGUGGGGGGCAAUCCUCACCUCACAAACUGAUUUUGUGGGGUUGUGUUAGGCCUAACCACGAUUUCUAAUUCUAUACUUCAUCAGUUAUACUCAUCAAUCUUUUAGACUCUAAGAUAUCUUGGUUAACCAAAAAAUAAUUGAACAUAAGACAACCCAUUCUCCAUAAAACAAUUCUCACACAAUCUUUCCAUAUCAACAUACACCGUGGCUUCUUAAAAAUAAUAAACCCUAUGAGAAAAGUAAAAAAACGAGGCAAUCUUGAGAACAUAGUGGCCAAAUAUUAGAGGACAAUUGGUAUGAAAUGAAUAAAAAAGGGAAAAAUCUUACAAAUGAAUGAAGGAGUACAAGAGUGUUUAUAUAAUGGAAGCAUGAAAAUAACUAUAACUAGAUCAAAAGAGAAAAGAGUAAAUGUCCUAAAAUGUCCUCUAUCUCUCUUGGUAUGAUUCUUUCUCUUAUCUUCUUCAUUGUGCAAUAUCCUCCCACAAGUUGGAGGUUGGUAGAUAUCCAACAUCCCCAACUUGGAUAGAAGAAGAUUGAAAGGCUGCAGAAGUAGUGACUUGGUGAAGAAGUCUGCAACUUGAUCUUUAGAGGAAAUAGGUAGUAGCUUGAAUAAUCCAGCUUACAUUUUUUCUCUAAUAAUAUGGCAGUCAAUCUCAAGGUGUUUGGUAAUUUGUUCAUGAAAGACUAGAUUAACAGCGAUGUAGAUAGCACUUUGAUUGUCACAGUAAUGAACAUGUGCUUUGGUACAUUGAAUCUCUGAUAAGGUAAAGCAACCAUUGCAAUUAACAACUAGUAGAUGCAAGUGCUCGUUAUUCAGCUUCUAAUGUGAUCUAGAGACUGUAAGUUGUUUCUUUGUUCUCCAAGAAACAAGAGAUUUGCCAAGAAAGAAUCAUUGACCAUAGAUUUACCACUUUCUUACAUGGAAUAAUUUGGUGAAUUUGCCAAAUUUGACAUCACAUCAUCGCGAUAUCUAAAAUUGUAUCGUGCAAUGAAGCGUGUCUUUGGUUUCAUGGUACAUAAAUACAAAAGUGAUUUUAUACACAUAAAAUUAAUUCUAAUAUGUGAUGUCUACCGAAUAUGUUUCUUUAGAAUUGAUUGUAUAAUUUGAAACUUUUAACUCUAAACUACAUUAAAGUUUACUGUUCAACCCAUCUACUAUUAAUUUAAACAUAAAUCAUAUCACAAUCAUCUCAUUUUUAACUAAAAUUAUUUUAACAAAAUCCGGUUGACAAAAUUCUAAUGAUAUCAUGAUCUUACUGAAGAGUCAAAAUUAAGCUUUUGAUCAAUUGCAGUAAUUCAUCGUAAUUUUGACAUAUAUGCUGUUUAUAACUAAAAAAAAAUUAUUGGUAAUGUUAACUUGUGUUCUAAGGGCACAUGUUAAGGAACUCAAAAAUAACAAUUUUACAUUGAAAAACAUAAUAUUUUAACUUUUAAGAAGUUAAAUGCACAACUUUUUGAUACGUACUUCUAUAAUUAGUUCUUUAACAUGUGCCCUUAAGGACAAAAAUUAGCAUUUGUCAUAAAUUAUUUGUAUUAAAUUCAACGUUUUUUCUUCUUCUUCUCUUUCUUCUUUCUAGAAUGGCGCCUUGAAUUGUUCAAAAAAAAAAGAAUGGCGCCUUGAGACUGCAAUAUUUAUAUAGACCGCAAUAUUUUCUCCAAGUUGAAUACUAUGCAAUACUAUAAGACUAGGACUCCCGAAUUUCCUCUUCUUUUUUGGAUAAUAUGAAGCAGAAAGAGUACACAUUUGUUGAAUAUAAUGCCGUAUAAUACGUGGUUCUUUGAAUGCUUCCAACUCAAUUUUUGACCUGUACACAAAAUUCUUCAGACUCACCUUAAAAUAAACCAUCUUGACAGUUUGUUAUUAUUUUUUUAAAGAGCAAAAUACGUCAUCGAAUUAAAGAAUAUUAAUCAAUUAAGUAAUUAAUUUUUUUGGUCUUGAUCAAUUAAUUAAUUAUACCAGCGGUAAACAUAAAAAGACGGAUCUACAGUCACGCGGCAACAAAUCCAAAAAAGUAUGUCAAUGUCAUAUUAUUUGGUAAAUAUUUUAUUUAUCAAUUUCAACUUUCAAGUUAAUAAACUAAGACCUCUCAAAAAAGGUAAUAAACUAAUAAGAAUAUUCUCUCAACAAAAAAUAAAACUAAGAAGAAUAUAUUUUGCUUAUUUACCGAAAAAAUAUUUUGCUUAGUCUAAAGAAGAAGAAUAUACUUUGCUUCAGCAAAAAAUGUAUUUUGUAUGUAUUGUAGUUGAGGUUUAUCAUAAAUUCAUAAUGCUAUUGUAGUUGAUAUGAGACGAAUAGUCCUUUAUCUUUUUUGUCCUUUAUACCAUAAAAGAUUAAAUCGAAAAAAGAAAAAGAUAAAAGACGAAAAUGUUACUUAAUUAUAACAUAAAUUAUUAAAUCAAGAAGAAAUGAUAAAUGACGAAAAUGUUAUCUCAAAUUAAGUCAAGGCACGAAAAAUGUAAUUUUGUCAAUUAUAUAUAUUGCUUAAGUUUUUAUUUAUUUUAGGUCAAAUACCUCUCGGAGUCCUUUAAGUUUCACGUUUGUAACGGAUAAGUUUUUUAAUUUUUUAAAGUUUCAUAUUGGUCCUUUAAGUUAUUGAAAAAUUAUGUCGUUAACCUUUCAGUCAACCUCCGUUACAAAAACGUUGAGAUGUCCAUUAUGAUUGACAUGAUAUAAGGCGCCGCGUUUUUUCCAUUCCAUCGUGUUCCAAUUUGAAGAAUCUAGGCAAUUUGAAGCCAUGCUUUUCUUAAAAAAGCUUCAAAUUGGUUGUUAAUGAGGUUAGGGUUUUCAAUUUGGGGAAGAAUGGGUGAAGAUUGAAGAAGAGUGAUGAGGAAUGUGAUGGGGUAGUAUUGGAACACAUUGGAUAGGCCAGAACAUGGCGUUUUAUGCCACAUCACAUAUUUAACGGACAAUUAAACUUUAUUGUAACGGAGGUUGACUGAAAGGGUAACGACGUAAGCUUUUAAUAAUUUAAAGAACCAAUCUAAAACUUUAAAAAUUUAAAGGACUGAUCCGGUACAAACGUAAAACUUAUCUCAGGAGAUAUUUGACCUUUAUUUUAUAUAUGUUGUUUUGCAUUGAAAUUUGAGUGGUCUUGGAGGAGAGAAAAACAAAAAAGAAAAAUAAAUAGUAGAUGCAAUCAAUAAUUUUGUUAGUCCAAAUAAUAGUUUUCUUUAAAAAUAAUAUCGUCCAAACUCAUACAAUUAAAAAUAGUAUUCAAAUUUUAUGUCACGUCACAAUGAGAAAAAAUAGCCCAACGACCUUGUUUUACACAUCAUCAUCAUCAUCUAAUGGCCUAUCUAAAGUCUAAACUAUACAUCUUCUUUUCCUAUAAAUACAAGAGUGAACUCCACUAAUAAAUCACACAGGCAAACAAUUAACUUCUUAAUAGUUUGUUAUUUCAUACAUUAAUUAGAAAUUUAUAAUUCAUUAUCAUCAUGGGUGUCUUCAACUUUGAGGAUGAAACCACAUCUAUUGUAGCUCCUGCUAGACUUUACAAAGCUUUAGUUACAGAUUCUGAUAACUUUAUCCCGAAUGUUAUUGAUGCCAUCCAAAGUAUUGAAAUUGUUGAAGGAAACGGUGGCGCCGGAACCAUCAAGAAACUUACUUUCGUUGAAGGUUUUUAUUUUUAUUUUUUUAUUAUAAGUAAUCUAAUGGUUAGAAAUCUUAAUUCUUAAUACUUGUUUUUCAUAUUGUUUUACGAUAAAAAACCUGAAAAUACACAUAUAUGUUUUUGGUAGAUUACUCUCAACACACACGUAUAUCAAAACUUAUAUUUGCAGUUUCAACAGUAAAACAAUAUCGGAAACAAGUAUUAAGAAUAAGGCUUAAUUGCAGGUCUGAUCUCUUAUGUUUACUUUAGUUUUUAAGUUGAUCCUUUAUGUUUUAAAAGUUUUAAGUUGGUCUCUUACGUUUUAAAAGUUUUAAGUUGGUCCAAAACGUUACUCACGUUGGAAUAAGUUAGUCCCUCCAGUCACUUAACGUUUAAAGAUCCAUGUUGACAAUAUGGGUGAUGAAACUUAACUUAUUUAGAAAAUCAAUUUUAAAACAUUUUUUAUUUUUUUUUGUUUUAUUAAACUCAAUAUCAUGUCGCGGAAGGACUAACUUUAUUCCAAUGUGAGUAACAUUUGGACCAACUUGAAACUUUUAAAGCGUAAGGGACCAACUUAAAUCUUUUAAAACAUAAGAGAGUAACUUGAAAACUAAAAUAAAUAUAAGUGAUCAAACAUGCAAUUAUAAGCCUAAAAAUUAAGAUAUAUAACAUAAAUAGCGGAAGUCAACAAAACACAUGAGAAUAUUCUUUUGAUGACAUCAUUACUAGUAUUUUUUUUAAAGAAAUCAUUACCGGUAUAUUAUUACAUCAUAGAUCUUAUCUUCGUGAGUUUAGCUCAGUUGAUAGAGACAAUGUAUAAUAUAUGCAAAGACCGAAGUUCAAACAUCAGUCACCAUAAAAAAAAAAUUAUGGAUCUUGCUAACAAGUGCCCUAAAAGCAUUGUUUAAAGAACCCACAAAAAUAAAUUUUGUCUUGAAAAUAUAAGGCAAACACAUGUAAAAAUCAUAACUAUACAAUUUUCAAUAUAAAAAUUACUAUUUUUGAAUGCUUAAAUAGUGCCCUAAGAACACUUAUUAACAUUUUUCUGAUAUUAUAUGUGCUUAAUAGAGAUCUAAUGUCGGUGUCUCAUAAGUCAUAGCUCAACUGGCAAAAAUACCGAAAUUGUUAUGCCGGACGUCAUGACCGGGGUUCGAACCUCAAUACCUCCACUUUGUGUGUGUGAGUUUAUGGUGGCUUUGCCAUCUCUUCUAUAUACCAAAAAAAAGAGAUCUAAUGUCAGUGUAAAAUUAUUUUACCGUGACAAUUAUGACAAUUCACCAUACUACCAAAUUAGCCUAUUUAGUAACCCUUUUUCAAUACUUGAUAGAAAAACUCUUUUUUGAAAGUAACCACCAUAUGUUACUCUUGUGGAUUGGAUUAUUUGUUACUAUGUUUUUUAUAUAAUUAUUUUUUUGUGAGAAACAUAAUUUUUUUUUAAAUUAUUUCGGCUUAAAUACAAUUUUGAUGCCCCUAUUUUUAAAAUUGUUAAUUUUUGAUACCUUUAUUUUUAAAAUCUGUUUUUUAUUCAAUUAUUUAAAAGGCUUAAUAGCAGUUUUAGCCCUUAAAUAUUACGAAGUUAAGAUUUUGUCCCCUAACAAAAUAAAAUACAAUACAUCCCCGUAAGUACUGCCCUUUUUGUAGUUUUGGCCGCUCAGACCAAUUUUGACCAAGUCAUUACUUAUGUAGACGCAACGUGUGUAUUUUUUUUAAUUAUUAAAAAAUAAUUAAAAUAAUAAUUUUUUUAUAAAAAAAAUUAAAAAAUUGAAAAUUAUACACGUGACGUCCACACAGCAUUUACUUGGUCAAAAUUGGCCUGAGGGGCCAAAACUGCAAAAUGGCAAUACUUAGGGGGAUGGAUUGUAUUUUAUUUUGUUAAGGGGCCAAAAUCGCCUAAUACUUACGGGGCCAAAACUGGUAUUAAGCCUAUUUAAAAAGUCAACAAAAUAUUUUGGUUUCAUUCCUCUCUGAAUGAUGUGGCAUGUCCAUUAAUGACAUGAUGUUUGUGAUUGAACUAAGUGAUUUCCAUGAUGUUUAUGAUUGUGAAACGAAUCAAUUAUGCGCAGGUGGUGAAACAAAGUAUGAUUUGCACAAAGUGGACUUAGUAGAUGAUGUUAACUUUGCUUACAACUACAGCAUAGUUGGUGGUGGUGGACUUCCAGACACAGUGGAGAAGAUCUCCUUUGAGUCUAAAUUGUCUGCAGGGCCAGAUGGAGGAUCCAUUGCAAAGCUUACUGUGAAAUACUUCACCAAAGGUGAUGCUGCACCUAGUGAAGAGGAAAUCAAGGGUGGAAAAGCUAGGGGUGAUGGUCUUUUCAAGGCUCUUGAAGGUUACGUUUUGGCAAAUCCUGAUUACUAAAGCAUAUAGCUAAUUGCUUGCUUGCUUUAUACACGGUGUGUUGUGAUGCAUUUUAUUAUAUCAUGUGGGCUUGAUUUGGUUGACAAAUGUAAUUUUCUAUUUUCUUUUGCUGAAGUUUGAGAUUGUAAGUCAUAUAUGUGUACCUCCUUUCAAUAAAUUAUAAUAAUACUUCAUCUAUUCAUUUUUACUUUUUUUUAAAAAAAUGUAUGUAACUAUUUAUUUGUUGUUUUUGUUAUGAAUAAUAUUAAUAAUAUAACGUGGAUUUCCAUUGUCCAUAAGCUUUCUAUAACUCCUAUGUUUUAGUCAUAUGACUCUUCAUACACUUAUACAAAAGUUCUCAUCUUUUCUAUUUUUGAUCUUAUCAUUUAGUUUAUUUUCUAUGAAAAGUUGAUAAUAUGAGGAAAUGAGUCUCACAUUUGGGGAUAUAUGUGAAUCAAUACACAUAAUGAUCAUGUGGACCUGAUAUAUAUUUUAUAACUUCAAUAGAUGCAUAACUAAAUGGUCACAUGUAUGUUUAGUCUCUACUCAAAACUAAAACUCUAUGAGAUUAUUUGAUCAACUAAUUUGAUUAAGAUCUCACUCGCUUUGUUUAAUAAGUGUUGAAUGUACAUGAGAAUUGGUAUUGAACAUAUAGUUGCAUAUGUUCAUGUAUACAUACGGGCUUGAAUAUCCAUUCAUUAGUUGUCUAAUGUUAAUUGUAUGAUCAAUAGCACUUUUGAGAUCAUAUCUAAUGUUACUUGAGAAUAUGAAAUCUUUCAUUUUGAGACAUCACUUCACAUCCAGCCAACAAGUUAUCAUAUGUAAGUCAUCCCCUAGUUCACAAUGAAUUUGAUUUUUGGUCUAUAAACAUAAUAUUUCCCAUAUAAGCAUUUUUGGAUGUGUUUGAUAUGUUUCAAUUGCUCCAAUAUAAUGCACUUAAAUGGGUCGUAUGAGAAUAUUGAGAAGCUAUUAUUGAUAUGAAUCUCAUCUAUUAUAAAAUAUCUUGAAUACAUAAUUAGAGAUUAAUUAUAGCUUAAUAUAUUGAUUAUCAAUUGAUAAAUUAGUUUUCUCAAUAUUAGGGGGAGAAAAUAAACAACUGAAUAUAUGAACCAUAAGUUCAAAUGGAUAUAAGAAGUUGAGUAUAUGAACCAGAAGUUCAAAUGAAUAAGAAUUGAAUAUAUGAACCUGAUGUUCGAAUGAAUAUAAACAGCUGAAUAUAUGAUCUAGAAGUUCAAAUGAAUUGAUUGAAAUAAAAAAGUAUGAUUAUCUCACCUUGAUCCUCAUAUAAAUCAGUGUAAACCAGAAGUUUAAAAUACGAUUUAUUUGCAAAGUUAAACAAACAAAAUAUCAACUACUAAUAAUCCAAUCAAAAUAGAUCAUGUCUCAUUUGAACAAUCUAACUUAAUGAAAAGAUGCAUUUUUAUGCAAAAUUAAACUAGCUUUGCAAAACGAAUGGUUUUUGGUGCAGUAGUCCAUGUAUGGAAGAUGUGAAAAUAAAAUGAGAAUCAUGAAUUAUUUAAUUAUAAAGUUGGGCACAUUGUUCAAGAGUAUUGAUGAAAACCAACUAUUAAUUUUGAAGAGAUCUAUUAACUAUAAAGUGAAUUCAAGUACAUUAUCAACUUGAUUAAGUCUAGCAUCACUUGAAAGCAUCAAUCUAUAUAUGAAGUACAUGUUACAAUAUAUUUAUAUGACUCACUUGGUAUUUUUAUAUAAAAUUUCCCGAAGGAAUUAAUUUUAUUGCGACAUACAAUUCAUAUUCUCAAGGAGAUUACUUAAUCAAAUCGAAAUAUAGAAAUGUGUUGAGUAAUAUUCUUAAUGAAUAUUUUCUAAAAAAGUGAUAUAAAAAUGAUACCAUUUGUACAUUUCUAAAUAAACCUGAGAACUCGUAGAGAAUUUUUGAAAGUUGAUUUAUUAAAGAAAAAAUAUUGAGAUGAAAUAUGUAGAAAGGGUCAAUAUUUAUUUGAGAUUACAAGUUGAGUAUUUGAAGAGUAACACUUUUGUUAAUCAAGAAGCUUAUACAACAAAGUGCUAAAAUCUUUAUAUAUGGACAAAUCUGUAGAUGUAACACUUAAAUCUCUUUGAAGAGUAACACUCAAAUGGUUGAAAAGUCACUGGAUGUAGACAAAGAUAUAGUUUGAGAAUUCGAGUAAAUUAUGAAGAACUAGUUGGUUCUAAAAUACCAUAUUGUAUUUUAAUUAAAGGACAAUAAUGUACCUUGAUAAUUAUUCAUGUUAUCAUAUAUUAUUUUUAUUUUAGAUAUGCAUGUUAUUUGUUUGAUCCUCAAUAUUAAUGUGCUUGAUUGAGGUUUAUGAUUGAACACAUAGAAGAAAAUUUGUGGUUUGUCUUUCAGAAAAAUGAGCAACAAUAAUUUAUGAAUAUAAUACCAUGUGCAUUAAUUGUUCAGUUGAAAGGAUAUAUUCUUCAGAAGAACGAUGAUAUACAUAAUCAACAAAUUUUUUCGUGUGAUAAUCUUGUAGACGUUUUCAUAAAGUCACUCCCAAGCAUGAAUUUUGAACAACUAAUACAAAAAAUUGAUCUUCAUCAUCUUGGAGAUGAUUGUUUGGAUGAAGGAGAGAUAUAAAUAUAUUCUGCACUCUAUUUUUCUUCACCAUGGUUUUGUUCCACUGAGGUUUCCUGGUAAUAUUUUUAAUGAGACAAAUAUAUUAGAUAUUGUACUCUUUUUCCUUCAUUAUGAUUUUUUUUUUCUGUCCUUUUCUUAGUAAGGUUUUAAUGAUGCAUAUCCUUCAUGAACAUCUAAAAGGGAGUAUUAUGAAUAAUAUUAUUAAUAUAAUAUGGAUGUCCAUUAUCCAUAAGCUUUCUAUAUUCCUUAACUCCUAUGAGUAAUGACUUUACUCAUUACAUUUGGCAUUUAGUCCUAUGAGUCUUUCAUACACUUGUAACUCAGGACAUUUAUAAGAUUUAUAUUCAAUGUAAAGAAUACACUUAAAAAGAGAAUAAUACAAAAACUUUCAUCUUCUCUAUGUGCUUUGAUCAUCUUCUCUAUUUUUUUUUUUUUCAUCUUGUCAUUUAGUUUAUUUCAUAACAGUUUUGAAAUUUGAAGGUUAUACUCAUCAAAUUUUUAGACUGAGAUAUCAUGGCUUACCAAAAAAUAAUUGAACAUAACACAACCCAUUCUCCAUAAAACAAUUCUCGCACAAUCUUUCCAUUCCAACAAACCCUAUGGCUUUUUUUCAAAAAAAAAAAACCCUAUGGAAAAAGUAAAAAAAAAAAAAACGAGGCAAUCUUGAGAACAUAAUGGGUCUCCCAACUUUUACUUCUAAUGUCUCAGAUGAAUGACUACCAGUAACACACGAUUAAGAUCACAUAAAUUAAUCACUGAUUAAUAUUUUAAGAGAAGUUUAUUGCCUAGAUCUUGAUCGUACCCGUCGUGGGUGUUGUUAAGAGUUAAUUUCAAUCUCCAUGAAAAUGUAAACUAAGCUUGCAAUGUGCAGAGGCUUGAAGAAGACAAUGAAAAAGAGAGAAAGAAAAUUUUAUUAUUCAACAAUCUAAGUAUUACAAUGAGGUGAUAUAGCUUUAUAUAAAGUGUAAUUAACUACUAUAACCUAUAGCUACUAACAAAAUAUAACUAACAUAUCUAACCAAUUGCAAAACAGUUACAAUUGGUUAGAUUAGCUUAGUUGUCAACAGUUACUUGUAGCACAAGUAACCACUGCAAUACAAUGUGAAUUAGGCUUUAACAACCCCCUCAAGUUGGAAUAGAUGUUAAUUGUUCCAAGCUUGGUCUGUAGAGUGUUGAAAGGGCCAGGAUGAAGAAGCUUGGUUAGAAUGUUAGAAAACUUGAUCCUACAUUCCUUUUGUCUAUUUUUUUUUUGUAUAUUAACAUCCUUUAACUAAUUAAGACUAAUUACUGUUAUAGAGUAAUCAAUAUUGUUGGUUAGAUUGAGUUAGUUAAACUAGUAGUUAGUUAGUUUUUCUAACUGUUACUUACAAUGUAAGUAACUGAUGUUGAUUGAAGUUAAUUGUUAUACCUGCUAUAUAAAUCAAUUACAUUUAACUCUAACUCUCAAGAAUGUCAAUAAUAUUUUGAUACACAUUAAGUUAGGAGAAGGGACAAAGUACAUUCAUAAAAACAAAACAUCACCACAUAAUAAAGGUAACCAAACUAAAGUUUAUCAUCAAUCCACCUAAUAGUUACCAACAUAAAGUUGUCUAAAAUAUAAAAGACCAUGAUAUGUUUGAUCUAACAAAAGAUACCAAAAAGCAACCAAGCUAAAGUUCAUCUAUCUUGUUGUUGAUGUUAUCACCCUCUCCUUCCUGUUGAAUUGAAGUGUUCAUAUUAGGCACAAUAUUCCCAAUAAUUUGCUUCAAGCGCUCCAUCUUCUGUCUUAGUGUUUCUUGUUCAAGAUUUUUCUUUUUAAGUUCAACGGUUAAUGCUUCAAUUUUAGCCCCCAUAACAGCAACUUUUUCUGAAGAAACUACAUCGGUAGAAAUUGAAGGCGAUGGUCUCAAAGAUUCUUUGAAAACAACAACUUGAGAUCCUAAUUUAAGUAUGUUCUCCUUCUUGUUAAUGCCUCCAACAAUUUCCAUAUAAAUACCAUUGUCAAUUUCUUUAGUAGGUUGUUGACUAAUAAUCUCACCACUUUGAGACUGUUUCUCAAACAUUUGAGUUUUGUACAUUUCCUGCAAAAAAGAGUUACUAUUAGUAACAUAAUUUAGAUUUAUGAAAGAUAACAAAAAAAGACUGAUGUAUACAUACAUCUAUCUUCGCUUGUGUUUCAUUAAACCACUUUUUGGUCUAUGAAGUUUUCGUAUAGCUCAAACCUUGUUGGUUCUCUAUCUAAUUCCACUCUCUAAAACAUAACCAACAUACAACAAGUUAGUAUAAACAUAUUUAAAUUGUAAUUUAAAGAAAAAUAAUUACUAACCAUUUUUUUCCUUUCUAUUCUAGCAGAUAUGGAUCCUCCACUAUGAACACUGUGUCCAACUUUAGAUUGCCUAUUUUGUUUAUUAGUCAUGGAAUAUUUUCGCCAUUUCUCUUCUUCCCAUUUAGCCUUCAAUUGUUUCAAGUUGUUUAUUAGUGAAGGAAUAGAAACAGAAGUUCCUUCUCGUUGUUGUUGCUUGGCUAAUUGCUUCUUCUUCCGGGCUGUUCUUUCGAUUUCAGAGUGAAAGAGUAAUUAAUCUUCCAGAAACAAGUUAGAAACACGACUGAUAAUAUAUAUACAAGAAGGAACUUCUUUUAUAUAUAUAUAUAUAUAUAUAUAUAUAUAUAUAUACACACAAGAAAUUAAUAUGUACAAAAUUGAUUAAAACAAAAAUUCUUGCUGCAAUGCUUAUGAUAUCUUAAUGUCAGUCCCUGGAAACGGUACCAUUUUGAUGUAGUAUCAAAAGUAAGUAUGUAUUAGUAUCAUAUCUAUAGGGACUAGUGCGAUAUUCGUAAGCCGUUCAACAAUUUUUUAUCGUUUUAAGUUAAGGUUUUGUAAAAUUGUUUGUUGCGAAAACCUAAUCGGACUAUAAUGCGAUAAAAUAAAAUUGAGUUAGACAGAGGAUUAAAGCUGUUGGGGUUAGACUUCAUUAAGAAAAUGUCGCAUAUAUUCUCUUAAUCAAGCAUAUAGAUUCUAGCUAUAAAUCAAUAUAUUAUCAUGUUUCACUCGACAACAUCAAUUAUGUCUAAGUAAUAUCGUGAAUUCAAUCGUAUUGUUUAGUCGACAAUUUCUCGGCCUAUUAAACAAUACAAUAACAUGAAGAGUUGAUACUUAAGUGAUUAUCAAAACCUAAAACCAUUUCUAGUAUUUAGGGGUUCAAUAGAUUAUUAUCCUAUGUGUAGAUUCAAAAGAUAUUUCUCAAUAACAUUUCAAAUCAUAAAUCAAGCAUGAAUAAAUAAUAUCAAUAUCAAUAAACACUAGAAUCAUAUAUUGCUUAAGAUCAAAGAGAAUACAUAGUGAGUUUGUUAAUUACAUUUUUAUUGUCAUGGUAGCCUUACAAAAUUGGAAGAAAUGUGUGGAAUACUUAUCAAGAUGUUGAUUUCUCAAUUGAAUCUUGUUGAAUCCACCUUAUAACACUCUUGCUUUGUGUUUCUCUCUAAGAUUCGUUCUUGUUUCUCCCUAAAAGUACAAGUUAUCUUUGGUUGGAAAUGAAUGAGCGGCUUUUAUACUUUUUCUGAUAAGUGCCUGCUCGCCGAGUGAAGGGAGGCUCUCCAUGGCGUAAGACAUAGAAAGCAUAAAAUGACUUAUUCAUUAUUUUUGAGCUUUUCAUGAGAUAAAUUGUAAAACAAGUAACCAAAGUGUCUAAAAUAUAAAUGAUAUUUAAAUACUUUCUGACACUUAUCACGUACAUAAACGAUAAGAUACAUUUUAUUUCAAGUUUUAAGUUUUUAUGAAUUUAAAAAUAAAAUAAAAGAAAAUAAAGCAAUCGUUAGCGACGGAUUUAAAGACAAAUAUAUCUAGAGACAACAUUAGCGACGGUCUUUAGAGACGCAUGUAGGGACCAAUGUUGUUAGAGACGGACAACUGCAUUUCCAUCUCUAGAUUUUGUCUCUAAACAACUUUUGUAUGCACUUAUCUAACAUAGUAUCUCAUUAGAGACGGAUUUUUAGACGGAUAGUAAUCAACGACAGAAUGUUCCAUCACUAAAAUCCGUCUCCACACACAUCAUCAUAUUCCGUCUCCAAAUUAUAAAUUUCCGUCUCAUCUUCCGUCUCUGCUAGAGACGAAGUGUUUCCAUCUCUAAAUUCCGUCGGGAUAUCAAUUUUUUUUUUUUGAAGGAGCUUAUCAACUUUUUUUAGUAGUGCAAUAAAGAUCAAACGUAAAAAGUAAUAUGUUUGCAAAGAAUAAAAACUAAAAUCAAAACUUUUGAUAUUGAUGAUGACCAUUUGUAUAUUUAAAUUUAAAAAUAAUAAUUAGAGAGAUUGCAAUAUUUGGUCAAAGCUGAAUACUAGCAGUACUAUUAUAAGAGAACUUCUUAUUUGGGUUUGCAUUAUUUGAUCGUGCGAAGCAGAAAGCUAUGUCAUUCAACCAAAGAGUACACAUAUUUUGAAUUUAUUGAUGUAUCCUGUCUGGUUCUUUGAAUGCUUCCAACUCAAUUUUUGACCAGUUCACAAUUUUUUUCUUUCGUUUUUCAGAUUCACGUUAAAAUAAUGGGUUAUUAAUGUUUUACCUUCGUAAUAUAGACCAUUUUUAUUUUCCCUUGUAAUUUUUUUUUAGAUUCUAUCAUUGUAAUUUAAAGAUAUUUUGGUUUUGUCCCCGUAAAAUCUUUAUGACAUCAAAUUAUAAAAUUUAUGGCAAUUUGUCCCUUGUAAUAUGAUUAAAUUUCGGUUUAACCCUAUGCAAUUUGAACAAAUUUUGGUUUACUUCCAUGCCAUAUCAUGAAGGUUCAAAACCAAAAAUUUUCAAAUUACAAUGACGAAAACCAAAAAAAAUAUUUAUAGAGAAGAAAACCGAAAAUAACCUGAACCCCGAACAUGACAAAAAAAAAACUACUAUUUAACCCUAAAAUAAACUCAGCUUGAUUUUUUUUUUUUUUAAUAUUGAGUUAUAACAUUGAUGAUUUAGUUUGUAUAUAUCUUUUAAUUAAUCAUUCUCUCUUUCUCAAAAAUAAUUUAUUUUAGGGUUAAUUAAGUUUUUAGUUCCUAUAAAUAUUCACAGUUUUGUUUUUAGUCCCUACAAAAUAAAAUCACACUUUUUAGUCCCCGUGACAUUAUCCUUAAGCAUUUUAGGAACCAAAAUUGUUGAUAGAAAUUUUUGACAAGGACUAAAACUGUUGAUGGAAAAAUUUUAUAGGGAUUAAAAAUGCUGAUGGAAAAUUUUACAGGAAUUAAAAAGUGUGAUUUUAUUUUGUAGGGACUAAAUACAAAAUUCUGAAUAUUUAUAGAGACCAUUUACUUAAUUAACCCUUUAUUUAAAUCAUUCAUCAAAAUACACUAAAAUCAUCAGUAUCACAAAAACUCAAUAUCGUCCAAAUAUUUUCCCACAAGUAUAAUUUUUUUAUUUGCUUUUAGACUAAUGGCCAACAUACACGUACAUACUCUCAAUAAAACGUGCUUGAAGAGAAUGAAAUGCAGUGACAUGAAUUCAAACCCAAAAUUCCGCAUAAAAUAUCAUCACAACCAAACCACAAUGCUACAACAAACACAUAUUUUAGAUUUUAAUUAUUCCAGUGGUAUAUCAAAAAAAUGUAUAUCAAUGUCAUCCUAUUUUCUUAUUAUUUUAUGGAACCCUUCUUUUAUUUAUCAAUUUCAACUUUCAAGUUAAUAAUAAACACAUGCAAAUAAUUUUUUUCUAUAAAAUUUAAAAAGCAAUAUUAAUAGUACAUAUUAUCUCCCUCAAAAAAAAUAGUAGAUAUUAUCAAAAUUCAUAUCCCAAUGUGAAUAAAAAAUGGCCCAAGGACCUGGUAUUAGUCAUCAUCUUCCUCUAACGUGCCAUCCAAUAACAUCUUCAGUUCCUCCUAUAAAUACCAUGCUGAACUUCACUUAUAAACCACAGCAAGGCAAGCAACUUCUUCAUUAUUUCUUUCUUACACUAGCAUUAUAAUUCAUCAUGGGUGUCAUCAAUUUUGAGGAAGAAACCACCUCUGUUGUAGCUCCAGCUACACUUCACAAAGCUUUUGUUACAGAUGCUGACAACCUUAUCCCAAAGGUUAUUGAUGUCAUCAAAAGUAUUGACAUUGUUGAAGGAAAUGGUGGCGCCGGAACCAUCAAGAAACUCACUUUCGUUGAAGGUCAGUAUAAAUAUAUUUGUUAUAUCUCUUAUAAGCAAAUCUUACAAUUAUUAAGAUUUAGGGUUUAUUAGGGUUAUUUUAGACGUAAGUUGCACCGACACUUCUGAUUGAAGGUGUGUCUUGACGUCCGACAUCACGACACUUGUGAUUACAUUGAAUUAUGUCAUUUUCUUAAAAUUUUAUCGGCGUCGAUGUGUCCGUGUUGUGUCUGGUGUCUGUGCUUCAUAGUUUUAGACAAAUUCUUGUACCAAUUUUUAAAAACCUAAAUAUAUCAAGUAAUAAUGGUCAUGAUAUUAAUAUGAUUGUGAGAUGAAUCUAUAUAUGACAUGCAGAUGGUGAAACCAAGUAUGAUUUACACAAAGUGGAGUUAGUAGAUGAUGCUAACUGGGCUUACAACUACAGCAUUGUUGGAGGUGAUAGUCUUCCAGACACAGUAGAGAAGAUUUCAUUUGAAGCUAAACUGUCUGCAGGUCCAAAUGGAGGAUCCAUUGCAAAACUUAGUGUGAAAUACUUUACAAAAGGAGAUGUUACUCCAAGUGAAGAGGAACUCAAGAGUGGCAAAGCUAAGGGUGAUGGUCUUUUCAAGGCCCUUGAGGGUUACUGUUUGGCUAAUCCUGAUUACAACUAAAGCAUAUAAUUAAAUGCUUAUUCAUGGUGUGAUGUGACACAGGAUAAGCUAUAUCCAGUUUGCUUAAUUUGGGUACCAAUGUAAUUCUCUAUUUUUCCCCCUUUCCUUUUGGUAAGGAAGUUUGAGUGUGAGAUUGUAAGUCAUGAGUGCCUCCCUUCAAAACAUUGUCAGCUUUUUUUAAUAAAGAGAUUGUUACUAUUUAUAUAUGUGGCUUUAAAAUUAUAAGGUUAUAGUUAUAGUAUUAACUUUUUUUCGUGUCAGAAAAAAGUUAAAAAUAGACUUUUGUUACGGUAAUUUAUAAGGUUAUAAUAAUUUUAUAUUUAUAUUAUUGAAGAGAGUACAUUAAUUAGACUCAAGUGAUUAGUGACCUUUCUCUCAAGAAGAAUUGUUCUAGAGAACCCGAUUUUAUUUUUGGUAAGAAUAAUUUUUGGUCAAACUUUAUUCUUCUUCCUAUCAAACUCUGGAUUACUAAUACCCCUUUCUCGAUGAAUUUGAAAGUUAAGAUAAAAAAAGUGUAAUUAUGUGAGUGAGUCAUUAUUAAAAGGUGAAAGUAUAUUCGGAAUCUGUUUAUUAAUUAAUAAAACUCAUUGUAGAUUUUAACCAAACAAUUGAGUUCAAGAGGUUAAUGAGUAUCCAACUAAUGAAUUGUUUAGUCGAAUCUGAGUUCGACUCUUGGGUAUAACUAUUCUUGGUCAUACUCUAUUUUCUUCCCUGCAGAACUCCAGAUUAUAUCUAGGAAACGAAGGGUUACACAAAAAAUAUAAACUCUUUGUAUGUUUCAACAUAAUAACGUUAAAAAACAAGAAGUAUAUAACAAUGAAGGGAGGAGACUUUUGAAUAAUAAUUGUAGUACUUUUCCUUAUAUCUAAGAUCAAGGUUGUCAAAAUUGAAUUUUGUUUCAAGUGGAAAGGGAAGAGUAAAAUCGAAAAUCGUAAAAUCGUAAUCAAAAUUGAAGGAUAUUAGUCAACUAUUUUUGUAGAAUCUAUAUAAGAAAUCGUAAAAUCGCAAUCAAAAUCGAUGGAUUUUACCAAAACAAAAAUAAUAUUAAAUAUAUGUUAUAAAUGACUCAGUUUAAUCUCCAAGUCUUUCGGAGAGCACUAAGGCAGAGAAAAAGAAGAAGAAGCUCGUGAACAAAGGAAGGUCUGCUAGCUUUAACUCAGCCAGAAUGAGGGUCCGUGCCCAAAAGAGUAACUCCAAAGCUGUCUUAGCUUUUCUGUAUUAUGGUGGAAUUAGCCACCUCCUUCCUUAGGAUCUUUCCAUUAUAAGGGUAGAUCUAGUUUUCCUUUUCGCAGGUUAUACACUUUCUGACUCUGUUGUAUUGAUUCAUGCAUCUCCUGUCUUUUAUAUUUUAGUGCUUUGAUAAAAGAAAAAGACUCAGUUUAAACUCCACAAAAUACUUAUACAUAAAUGACAAAAAAAUGAACUAAAUCCUCCAAAACCUUUUAAAAUCCUGUGAUUUUGCAUGGAUUUCACGAGUUUGUGCGAUUUGGAGGAUUUUGCCUAUUUUAGAAUUUUGUUAUGGAUUUGAGCCGUUGAAAGUGAAUAAGAUCGCAAAAUCCUAGAUUUUUAAGAUUUAAGUCGAGAUUUAAUCAACAAUGUCUAAGAGAUUAAGACCAUGACCAUCAUUAUUUUAUUUGUUGCUUGAUACUUACAUACGAAACUGGAAGGUUUAUACAUUUUGCUAAAAAAUUACCAAAGCAAGCAUAUGAUACAAUAACUAAAUAAUAUAGAAGAACUAUAUGCUCUUAGUUUAUUAUAUAUAGAAGAACUAGAAGACUUAGAAAAAGAUACCUCGGACAAUAAAUGAGGUUAUGUUGUCGUUGAAUUUCAUUACUGGAAUAGGAAUAUAUCAACAAAAGAACUGGAAAUUGUAGUACAAAGUAAUAAAUUGAUGCUCUUGUAAACAAUGAUAAAAUUGAGAAGGAGCCAAUAACUUGCUCAUAUAAAGCAUGCAGUUUUUUCCUUCCCAAGAUUGGUGUUUAUUUCUAUCAAAAUUAUUGUGAAGUGAUCAAAGAAGAUGUCAUCAAUGCUAUCUGCAAUCUUUUGUUUUUGGAUGGAUGAUGCCAAACUUCAAUGCCAACACCUUGAUUCUCAUUAUAAAAAUAUCUAAUGUUGAUACCAUUGAUCAAUGCAUGAUAAUAACAAUGGCUAGUUUCAAAUUCGAAGGUUAUUGCUUAUAGGAACAAAAAGGUUAUAUUCAUGGCAGGAAUGUUAGAGAAAGUGUUUUCCUAGCUUCUGAAGCCAUCAUUAAUCUUUUGCAAACCAAGUAUUUUGGUGGUAAUCUAGCUCUGAAAAUAGAUAUAGCCAAAGCUUUUGACACUUUGGAGUAGUGUUUUACAGAUCAAUAACUUGCUUGACUUCAAAAUUGGCACUUUUCCUUUCAACAACCUGGGUUCCCUAUCUUGAGAGGAAAAGUUAGAGCUAUUCAUCCGCAAGGUGUUGCUGAUAAAGUUAAAAAUAAGCUAGUAGCUUGGAAAGUUUCCCUUCUCUCAAUUGGUUGACAGGGUUCAAUUGAUCAUUUUUUUCAUACAUUGUGUAUUAUACUCAAACUCUGUCAUACAAUUGUUGGCAGGGUAAAAUGUGACAUGUUUGUAACUCACAUUUGAAAUAAAAAUUUAAUUAGUUAAUUUUUAUUUCCGUCAUAUUCCAUUGUGUAUUAUACUCAAACUCUUGCAUUUUUACACGUACUCUCUAACUUUUGUGCUAAUUGCAAUUAUAAUUUUUCAACCCCAUCGAAAUCAUGCUAUGAAAUUAUCAUGCCAUCAACAACAUAUAAAGAGAGUGCAAAGUACAACCAUGUGAAAAAUACUGAAUAAACAAACACUACUGGAAUCUCUCGUUUUUUUUGCGGAAUUUUCAGUGAAAUCCGCAAAAAAUUCCGCAGAAAAAUUAAGAGUUUCAAGUAGUGAAAGUAAUCAUGACAACUAGUAGAGAGGUCAAAAGAUAGUAUCAUAAAUAUGGAAAAUCUUUCAAACAAGGAUGCUGAACUUCUUUCUUUAAAAAAAAAAAAAAGGAUGAUGAACUUUUUUUGGUUAGAUUUUACUUUUACCAAACUUUAGAUUAUUAUUAUGACCUCUUUCUCUAAAAAUUGGAGGAUUAACACCAAUAAAAAAAAAAGAUAAAGGACUUUGUUUAAUCAUAUAUAUCGAGGAGCUUCUUCAACUUACAAACUUUAUAUAAUAAAAUAAUAAUAAAUUUCUUUUUUGAGGUUAAGUUUUGUAAGAAUAUCUUUUUAUCAAAUUGCUAGAGUAAGUUAUAUAUAUAUAUAUAUAUAUAUAUAUAUAUAUAUAUAUAUAUAUAUAUAUAUAGGGAGAUGCUACAACACAUCCACCUAUUUUUGUCAAGGUGUGUUUUUGCAUUGUCCACCUUUUUUGUUUUGACUAAAAACCCAUUUUCUCCUUUUUAAAAACAAGUAAAAGUGAAGGGCAAUUCUGUCAUUCGCAACUUAAGGCUACCAUUCGCAAAAUUAAAAAAGGUGUAACGUCUCUCAUAUAUAUAUAUUUAAAUAAUUAAUAAAAUUUAAUUAAAAAUAAAUCAUUUGAAAGAAUUUAAAUUUGAAUUUCGAGUAGAAUAAUCACCGACCAAUCUUUAUUUAUCCGACCGAACUCCAAAUUACGAGAGUUCAAGGAGAGUCAGGAUGAAAAAAGAAAAACUUUCUAUAUAUUUCUCGAACUACAGGUUCUAGAAUGGCGUCUAGAGGCUGCAAUAUUUAUAUAUUGAUAUAAGAAACAAUUGAGAAGGACUGCAAUAUUUCGUCAAAGCAGAAUACUUUGUAGUACUAUUAUUAUAUAAGCUGAAUAUCCUCUAAUUUGUUUGGGUUUGUUUUGAUAAUGUGUAGCAGAAAGCUACGACUUUCAGAGUGCUAUGAUUUUGAAUAUAUUGCCGUAGAUUAUGGUUUUGUUAUUUAAAUGCUUCAAAACCAAUUUUUGACCUGUUCACAAAAUUCUUCAGAUUCACCCAAAAACAAAUUCAGAUUGAGAGUUUCUGUUUUUUUAAAGAGUAACACGUCACUGAAUUAAAGAUGAUUAGUCAAAGUGAUAUUAUUUAUGAAUCAAAAUACAUACUAUAUCAUAUGAAUAUAUUAUAUAUCAUAUGUGACCUUGUAUACGACAAAUUUUAAAAAUACAUAACUAAGGUGCACGAUAUUCGAUAUUAAAAUUUUGGAACUAAAGUAUGAUUUCAGAAUUAGUUAUCCCAGUGCUAAACAUAAAUGGACGGAUCAACACGGCAACUUAUCCAAAAAAAUAUAUAUGUCAAUGUCAUCCUAUUUUACUAAUAUUUUAUGAAAAAUGUUAGCAAAUGCCCUUAAGAAGUUUGAAUUAUUUUAUUUUAUUUUUAAAUUUGUGUAUUCAAAACAUUCAAAUAUUUAAAAAUAAAUUUUGCUACAUAAAAGUUAUCAAUUGCUUACAUUUUUAAUCCUUAACAAAUGUUCUAUGGACUCCUUCAAAAAAAAAAUGUCUUAAGGAUAUAAUUUUUGAUGAAUCCUUAGCGAUACCUUUUCAACUUUCAAGCUCCGUCGGGUAUAAUCACAUCUAUUGAAUCUUUAUUGAUUAAUUUUUUUUGGAAAGGGAGUGAGGACACUAGGAAAACUUCUUGGAACGGUUGAAAUAAUAUUUGUUUGAGUAAAGAAACCGGUGGUUUAGGGGUUAGACAUAUGAGGAAGUUCAAUAAUACUUUGUUAGGGAAGUGAUGUUGGAGGAUAGAUGAUGAUUAUGGUAUAGGGUGUUGGUGGCUCGUUAUGGGGAGAUGAAUGGGAGGUUGGUGGUCAGAGUAGUUCAUCUUGGUGAAGGGAGGUAGCGAAAAUUUGUGAUGGGGAAGGUGUGGAGGGAGGAGGGUGGUUCGAGGAGAGUAUUGGGAGGAAGGUUGGUAAUGGGAGGGAUACCUUUUUUUUGGACGGAUCCGUGGUUGGAAGGUCAGCCUUUAUGUAGGAAGUUUAGAGUUUAGAUGACUAUUUGAUUUAGCGGAGAAUAAAUCGAUUACGGUGGUUGUGAUGUGUGAUUUGGGUAAUAAUAAUAAUUAUGAAGCAUAAAAAUAAUGUUAUAAAUAUGAUGUGAUAACAUUAUUAUUUGUUUCUAUAGAUCUAUAUCAUAUCUAAACCAGCAAAGGAACCUUAAGAGUACUAAAACACAAAUUUCACUAACGUUACCUAUAGUUAGGUCAAUUAUGAAGCUUGCCCCCAAUAUUCAAUCAUCUUUCUCAUUUUUAAUAGGCAAGUGUUAAUUGGUUUGGUUAGUUUUCCAUACUUGAACCAUGACCUUCUUCAUUAGUAUUCUUUCCGCUUUCGAAACUAUCUUUUAUAAAGGUUAUGUUAACUAAUAUCCUUAAGAUACUGGUUAAGAAAGAUAAAAUUAAAAAAAUUCAUUCAAAACAAUAAAUUCUCAACUUUCAAAAACAUAAUAUACAACUUUUUCAUACCUUUCAAUACAAUAUUUUUAUAUUAAUUUCCUUAACAUUUCCAAUUUCAUAAUGAUUUUUUAUUUAUUAAUUCUUUCUCAUAGUAUUUCAAUAUGAUGUGGUGGGGUUGGCAUUAGAGAGUUGACUUUAGGUAGGUAUAUUUAUAUAAGAACAUCUAUUAAAGGUGGUUAACAACUUAAAAUAAUUCAUCCUAAAACAACUUAAAAUAUUUCAAAACUUUGAUAAAAGACUAUAUGUUAUCUAAGAGGUGGUAAUAAUAAUUAGGGAGUUUCGACGGUACAUCCUUAAAUUAAGGUGUACUGAUACACCUAUUUCAUAAAUCAAUAAGUUAAUGAUCAUUUUUAUGUAAUAAAGAGAUAUUUAUCGACUUUUAUAUUUUAGAAAAUAUGUAGUUCAUAAGAAAAAACAUCAUUUCAUUUUUUGUAAGAAUCAUACUAAUUUUUUAACAUUUUAUCGAAAAAAAUAAUCGAUAUUCAUUAUUAUGAGUAAUAAAAAUUAAAAAAAAUUGAAUUUUGAUUUGCCGACACUUUUGAAAAAUAAAAUAUAAUUUAUAAUUGUAAUUGAUAGAAAAUAUUUUUUUUUUAUAAAAAAUAUCUCAUUAAACUAUUCAUUUAAAUAUAGGUAUACCGGUACACUCAAAUUUUUUGAGUGUGUCGUAGAAAUUGCCAAAUAAUAAUUAUGGUUCAAAUCCUACCCUUGACAUUUGAAUUAUAGUCAUUGGUGUCAUUGUUAUUGAUAAUAUUUUUCUCAUAUAAAUUAAAAUUAUAAUUUUAUGCAAUAAAAAAAUCCCAUUGAAGCAAGUUUGUAAUUAAAAUAAUUUUUUUUUUAAAUUAUCAACAAAACCAAAUAGUGUUCAUAAUCUUUCAAUUUUUUUUGGAUGAACUCUCAUAUCUUUCAUCAGAAGUCUCAAACUAAUACACACAUAAGCAUACACCUAAAAUCAAAUCUCUAACCAAAUUCUUAAUAAAUCUAGUUAUUUUUCAACCCUGCCACACCAUAAUGGUAGCUUUCACAUGUAAACAUUAGAUAUUAUUUUUCUUUUACUCAACAUAUUAGCUAGUUUGGAACUAGAAAUAUAAUAAUUUUGCGCAGUAGAAUUUAUGAGAGGACAAAUAUUAUAUAUUGUGCGACAAUAUGUUUAUUUUAUAGACGUCGUUUGCAUUUGGAAUUUAGACUGCUUUUGGUCCUUGAUGAGAGAAAAAGAAGAGAGAUAAAAAAAAUAAUGAAUAGUAUAUUCAAGAAUUUUGUGAGUCCAAAUAGGUUUUUAACAUAAAAAAUAAUAUUAAAUAAUAUUAUCCAAAUUCACGUCACAAUGUGAAUAAAAAAUGGCCUAACGACCUUGUAUUAAACAUAGGUCUAAACAAUACAUCUUCAGUUACUAUAAAUACUAGACUCAACUCCACAUAAACCACACAACAAAUUAAGCAACUUCUUAAUUAUAUUUACUAACUAAUACUUCUUUCACUAGCAAGUUAGCAUAUUAUAUAAUUCAUAAUGGGUGUUUUCAAUUUUGAGGAUGAAACCACCUCUAUUGUAGCUCCUGCUACACUUUACAAAGCUCUUGUUACGGAUGCUGACACCCUUACCCCAAAGGUUAUUGAUGCCAUCAAGAGUAUUGAUAUCGUUGAAGGAAACGGCGGAGCCGGAACCAUCAAGAAACUCACUUUUGUCGAAGGUCGGUAUAAAUAUAUGUGUAUUUUUUGGAUUAUUUUAAAGAGUCUAAUUGCGAAAUUCACACGGAUUAAGAGAAAAAUUGAUUCACUAUACAAAUAAAAUACAAUUUAUAAAAUAUAUGAGAGUGUUUAGUAGACACUCUUAUGAUUAACAGUUUUGGUUGCUAAUUAAUUGGUUUGAGAAAAUAUUUUCUAUUUAUAUUUCUAAUUAUAGAAUUGCCACUUUACCGUUUAUCAAUAUUUUUUAUCACUUUACCAGUAAUUGUGACACUUUGAUGUUAGAAGAAUAACCACGUUAUACUCGAAAAAAGUUCUUAGCCCAAAAUGGACAAUUUUACCAAGGUUGUAUUAAAGUAAAUUUAUACUUCAAAAUAAAAUAAAAAUGAAGUUUUUAUAAGAAAAGUAAAUUUCCGCUUAGUGAUCUCAUUCUUUAUGGAAUAGGUCAUCCUUUUAACGGUAUAUUUGAAAGAAUGCUAGAAUAUUCUUUUGGUGAUAUUAUUUUGUUCUAAUCGGAGUAUCGGUCGAGAAAUAAGUAUAGUUUGGUCAAAAUUAUCUUAUUGGAGAUUCAAAUUCUCCCGAACAAUUUGUCUUUGUCAAUUAACUAUUUAAACACAAUUGCUUGAUUAACUGGAACUUGAUUAUUUUAACCAAUGAUGUGCAGAUGGUGAAACAAAGUAUGUGUUGCACAAAGUGGACUUAGUAGAUGAUGUUAACUUGGCUUACCACUACAGCAUAGUUGGUGGUUUUGGGCUUCCAGACACAAUAGAGAAGAUUUCAUUUGAGGCUAAAUUAUCUGCAGGACCAAAUGGAGGAACCAUUGCAAAGCUUAGUGUGAAAUACUUCACCAAAGGUGAUGUUGCACCAAGUGAAGAGGAACUCAAGAAUGGCAAAGCUAGGGGUGAUGGUCUUUUCAAAGCUCUUGAAGGUUAUGUUUUGGCAAAUCCUGAUUACUAAAGCAUAUAGCUAAUUGCUUACUUGCUUUAUACAUGGCGUGUUGUAAUGCAUUUUAUUGUAUCAAGUGUGCUUGAUUUGGUUGCCAAUGUAAUUCUCUCAUUUUUUUUCGUUUUAUUUCUCUCUAUUUCUUUCCUUUUGUUGUGGAAGUGUGAGUGUGAGAUUGUAAGUUGUGUGUGUACCUUGCUUCAGUAAAUUAUAAUAAUAUAUAUUUCUUUUUUAUAUGGUCCCCUUUUGAAUAUUUCAUUUCAAUAAAUGGAUUCGAAAGACCAAUCUAAAACUCAACAGUUCUCUUCCUUUAAUAAAUAUAUUUCUCUUCCUUUAAUAAAGUAUACUGAAUUUAUUAAUAGUGAUAUUUCUUAAACUUGUUAAUAUUGCAAAAACUAAUAUCGUAAAAAUGCUAUCUUAUGAGAAAUAAAAUAAUGUGUCCUCUACUUAGAAUAUUGAGAUAAAUGAAUUUGUUGAAGAACUUGAUAAAGAUGAAUCUUCUAUAUUGAGACAACAUUGUUCCUUUUGUUGGUCAAAUAUUUUUCUUAGCAAGGAAGAAACAUUUGUCUUCUAUAAGAGAUAUGCAAAUCAGCAUUGUUUCUCAAUUUCGAAAAGGCAGAUUCAUCAUAUUGGAUAAUAGAUAGGCUCUGAUACCAUAUUACUUUCACAGAGGAGAGAAUGUGAUUGUGCUGAAUCACUAGAAAAUAUUAUUAUUGAAUUGUGUUUGUAAUACAAAGAAGGUUUUAACUAUAUAGAAACCUGAUCAUAUAUAAAGCUUAACAGAUUUAGGUAAAGGCCCAACAUGAACAAUUAGGCCCAAUAAAGAUAAAUGGACUAAAGCUUAACAGACUUAAAUCAUGGGUCGGGAGAUGAUUUUGAACACUUUUUUUUUUCUUCUGAAAGAAGGAGGGCUUUCAGUUAGACAAUUGAUGCAUGUCAUAGAACUAGAGAAAAAUGUGAAGCAUGUGUAUCUUCGAUUUAUUGAAAAGGACAUUCAUAAUCUUUUUCGAAAGCUGGGAAAAAAGUUGAAGGAAAUGAUGGUAUGCAUCGUCUCGAAUACUGUGAGGAUGCAAAAUGAGUUGCUCUAAACUUUAGUAUGCAUAUACCGAUGAAAAUUUUCCCAUUUUAGAUCAAUUUUGUCUUAUAUAUUAUUAUUUGUACAACCAAUUUUGCCAUAUUCUAAUUUAUACCCUACUUUAAAAACAUGAUCGAUAUUGUUUUCCUUAUUCCUUUAUGAUUAAUUUUUUUUUGUUACCUUCUCGUAUUUUCCUUGUUGCCAUUACAAUCAAAUUUUAAUGUUACUAAUCAGGGCCGACCCAACAUGUCAAGAGGCCUAAAGCAAAUUUUAUGAUUAGGUCUUUUGGAAUUAAAAAAAAUAACACAAUGCUUAUUAAAAGCAUAAUAAAUCAAGUUCUUUUGAAUUCAAUAUUUGAACUUAAGACCAAAAGGAUUUGAGGCGUUAAAAUUGACCAGAUAAACUAGAUAAAUAUUGAUUAUUAGUAUGUCAUAUUAUAUAUUUAUAGUUAAAUUGACUUAUUUUGAGAGCUUUUUUUAACCUAAAAUUUUGAGGCCUAAAGCCCUUGCUUGGGUGGCUUGACCCUUAGGUCGGCCCUGUUACUAAUUAAAACUGAACUACAAUUUUGUUAUCGUAAAUAUAUUUAUUUUUUAUAAAUAAAUUAAAUAACAAUAAUUAUUAGAUACUAAUCAACAAAAGUAAAGAGUCAGAGUUCGAACCCAUUACAACAAUUGAUUUAACAAUUUCAAAAAAGUUAUCAGUGAAUUAUAAAUUAUAGACAACAUGUGGGUAUAUAAUAAAAAAGUCGAGUUUUUUUUUUUUUAUGAAAGUAAAAAAAAAAUAUUUAAAUUUGCUUUCGGAAAAAAAAAAUAACAGUUUUUUUAGAAAUAUAAAUUCCAUAGAUUUUUAUUCGUUCCAAAUAUAUAAAAGAUAGGUGACUUGGUACAAUUUAAAAAGAAAUUACAUUAAUACUUUAUUAGUAAUAUUCAUCCAAGUUUCAAGUAAAGUUUUAGAACCAUCCUAUCUAUUGAUAUUUGUUAAUAUUAAAUCAAAGACUCAUGUUAAAUUGACUUAAGAUGGGAAAAGAUCACAAUUUCCCAUGUUAAACAUCACCAUACAGUUGAUAAAUAAAGAAGGUUGAGGCAUAUUUUUUGGUCACCUUCUUCUUGUUUUGAUUGGUAUAAAAAAUAUGGUGAUGUUGUGUUUGAUACUACAUACAAGGUUAAUUAAUUUCUUAUGACAUGCCAUUUUGAAUUUUUGUGGGUAUAAAUAGCCUUGUAAAGUUCAUUCUUUUUGGAUGUUCUGUCAAUAAAGUAUAGUUUCUGCAUAUGACACAUCACUUUUAAAUUUAGUUUUUGGUUUAAUGCUAUAACUCGGGAUAAAUAUUCAUCAUAGUGUUUUCAUUUUUUUUUUUGGUGGGAUGAAAACCACAGGAAGAUCAUAGAAUAUCAAUGCAUUUAUUAAAAUAUUCAUAAAUCCUCACACAAGUUUAAGUGACUUUACAAAUUCGGUACGAUGUAAUUUCCAAUACAUUAGUACUCAUCAUUUUUGAAGUUAAUAGUAUCUACCAAUCAAUUUAAAUUAAUUUCUUGUUGAUUUAGCAAUUGAUGAUAUUAAGAAAAAGAAUACCAUGAUAUAAUGUUAGAAAAGUACAAAAGAAUUAAUAUGAAGCUUAUGUUACCCUUGCAAUAGCAAAUUCAUGGUGUUCUCACACGUUUUUCUUUUUAGAAGUUUCAAGAGGAGUUUGAAAGGUCGGUCCAAUAUUCAAUUCAUAAUGAAACUCAAUGUAAUGUCUUUAUGUUGCGGUAUUAUAAAGAUGUUAAUUGUAGAGAGCAAAUGGUUUUUUGGGUGGUAAAUUUUAUUUUUUUUGAAUCGAAAAAUAUUAUUAAACGUCAUUCCCGCAAGACGCAAUGUAUGGACGAAACAAAAUACAAAUGAUGCCGCAUAUAGACGGUACAACAUAACCAUUUUAGGUGGUGAAAUAACUCUGCGUAGUUGUAAGCACUUUGAGUUUUGAGGGAUAUUAUGUCAUCACAUUUUCAAUAUUAUUCUUCAUAAGGAUUGCCAUGAGGUCCAAUCUAACUACAUGCCAUUACAAUGGCGUCUUCAAGCAUCACAUGACAAUGAUGAAGUAGAUCCCCAACAAGUCAAUGUUGUCUUUGAGGAACAAGUCAAUGUUGUUCAUUGUCCUCCACAAUCCAAAACAAAAGGUCGUCCCAAACAAAGGCAUUUUAAAGGCGAAAAAGAGUUAUCACAUAACAUUAAUACUUGUGGAUCAUGCAAAGGUUUAAGACAUAAUAUAGUUACAUGUCCUCUAAAAGAAAAUACUCAAUUUUCUGUUAACAAAAAAAAAAAAAAAAAAAAAAACUAGAAGAAGAAAAUUUGUGAUGAUGCAAAUGCUAACAAAUGUCCUUAGGUAAGAAGCUCAAAAUAUAAAUUUUAUCUUGAAAAUUGUAUUCAACACAUUGAAAUAUUAAAAAUAUUUUUCCUUUUUUGAAGAAGCCAAAUUGAAUUAUAUUACUACCAAACCUAGUCAACUCAACACAAGGCGUAUCAAAGUAGAAUGAGAAAGUGAUCAAUAGUUCAAACCAAAAGAAAACAAAAAUGAAUUCAAGAAUUAGCCAAAGCCCAAACACAUAUAGGGAUUAAGCCACCAAUUAUGAUAAAAAAAAAAAAAGAAGACUUUUUUGCAUUCAGUCAUCGAUAGAAAAUGAGCUUAAUGUUAUCUAAAAAUUGAAGAGCUGAGCUUGUUGUAUUAUUAAAUAUCUUGUCGUUUCUUUCUUUCUGUAUAACCUACGUGCAAGCAAACCAAAUCAUCAACAUAAAUGAGCGGCGGGAUUUUGAAACACCUUCUAAACAACUUUUUUUCUAAAUAAAACUUAAUGAAUGUUUCCUUUUUUGAAUCUUUAACAAAAACACUUAGAACACUUGUUAAUAGUAAAAAAUGAAGAAUAUAAUUUGUAUUUUAUUAAAAUUUACUAAAAAUAGUAUGAUCCUCCUUUAGAUUGAGUCCAUAUAAGAUGUCCCGUAAGUUUAAAUAUAAAAAUCAUGGUUUGGCUCUCUCUAUCGGGAAACCAAAUAUGUAAAAUUGAUUUUGCCAUAUUUGUCCGAUGCUUAUUGAAAUUGAUUUUUAUCUCUAUAAUUAUAUAACUUGAAGUUAGAACUUAGAACUGCAGCUUUUAAUUUUUAAUAUGAUUUUUAUACUCAAAUUUAGCGUUCAAGGCACGCGGACAUGAAUAUAUUUAAAUAUAACUAAUUCACAUUUAACCCAUUUUUAACUAAAUCAUUUUAUUUGAAAAAAAAUUUGUUGGCAAAACUAAACAUGCACUAAACCAAGUUGUUUGGCCUCCGGUGGAAAGGAGCUCUUUCCAAGGAUGUAUCCGGAAAAUACCGGACUCGAUUCACAGAGGGAACAACGCUUGACCAAUUUGCAUGAGCCAGAUUAGUCACCAACCUUUGGUGGGUCGAAAACUGGUGCAAAAGCCAAAAAAUCCAUUAAAAAAACUAAACACGCACUAAAUAUUUCCAACUAAAGUAUUAGUAUUAUUUAAAAAAAAAACAAAAACUAUAUUGUAAAACAAAUAGUAGUAUUAUUUAGUCCGGAUUCUAGAAUGGCGUCUUGAGACUGAAUUGUUUAAUAUUAAACAAAUAAAAUAAAAAAUGAGAGACUGCAACAUAAUUUCCUCUUCUUUUUUGGGUUUGCAUUUGAUCGUGUAAAAGAGAAAUCUAGAUACAAGAAUACGCAGAUUUUGAAUAUAUUGCCAUAGCUUUUGUGGUUAUUUGAAUAGUAUAUCAGGAAUUUUGAAAUUUGACUGGUCUUAGAGGAGAUAAAAGAAGAAAAAAAAAAUAGUAUAUCAAGAAUUUUGUGAACCCAAAUAAUUUUUUUCUUUAAAAUUCAUAUCUCAAUGUGAAUAAUAAAAUGGUUCCAACAACCUGAUAUUAGUUAGUCAUCAUCUUUAUCUAAUUAGCAAUCUAAAGUCCAAACAAUACUGUACCAAAAAAAGUCUAAAUAAUACAACUUCAGUUCCUAUAAAUACUAGCCAUAACUACAUUCAUAAACCACACAUUACGACCAUUAUUUGUUAUUUCUUACCUAGCAUUUUAAUACAUUAUACCAUCAUGGGUGUGUUCAAUUUUGAGGAUGAAACCACCUCUAAUGUAGCUCCUGCUACACUUUACAAAGCUCUAGUUACAGAUUCUGAUAACCUUAUCCCAAAGGUUAUUGAUGUCAUCAAGAGUGUUGAAAUUGUUGAAGGCAACGGUGGCGCCGGAACCAUCAAGAAACUUACUUUUGUUGAAGGUCGGUAUAAAUAUAUUUAUUUUACUUUUAUUGUCAAAUAUUAAUAAUUAGUUGUUACGUUAGUGUUUAAAAAAAUUAUGUUUUCGACAUCGAGUCUAAGUUCAGUAUGAACUAUACCUAGUAAUGCUGAUGAUGUUUGUGAUUGUGAAACGGAUCAAUAUGCAGAUGGUGAGACCAAGCAUGUGUUACACAAAGUGGAGUUAGUAGAUGAUGCUAACUUGGCUUACAACUACAGCAUUGUUGGAGGUGUUGGCCUUCCAGACACAAUAGAGAAGAUUUCAUUUGAGGCUAAAUUGUCUGCAGGUCCAAAUGGAGGAUCCAUUGCAAAGCUUAAUGUGAAAUACUUCACAAAAGGAGAUGUUACUCCAAGUGAAGAGGAACUCAAGAGUGGCAAAGCUAAGGGUGAUGGUCUUUUCAAGGCUAUAGAGGGUUACUGUUUGGCUAAUCCUGAUUACAACUAAAGCAUAUAGUGUGUGCUUGCUCUAUAAAUGUUGUGUUGUGACACAUUUUAUUAUAUCUAGUGUGCUUAAUUUGGAUGCCAAUGUAAUUCUCAUUUUUCUUUUCUUCCUUUCCUUUUGUUGCUUAAGUGUGAGUGUGAGUGAGAUUGUAAGUCUUAAGUGUACUUCUCUUCUUCAAUAAAUUAUAAUAAUACUCCACAAAUUCCUUUUUACUUGUCAUUUUUAUACAAGUGUUACUAUUUAUAGGUUUUCUUUAUGUUGUUUUCAAAUGUUAUGAUAUCUAUCUACUCCUAUUAUAAUCUAGAAAAAUCAAUAACCACCAAUUUUCUUAAUCACUCUCACCAAUCCUAUAAAAUCACUAAUUUUAUGGGCUUAAACGUCUAAUUACAUCUCUCAUUAAUUAUUUAAAAAAAUCAUAACUAAAAACCACACUCCUCCCAAGAUUUAUCUUUAAUCCAUCAAGACUAACUUUUGGGUGAGGUAUAAGAGUGUACUUGAAAUCACUACAAUAUUAGAAUCUAAGGUUUAGACUGUUUUCAUGACAUCUUGAGAAUGAUCUCAAGAGGGGUAUUUAUAGCUCUUUGUGGGAUUGUUUUUACCUGACUUAAGCCCCAAGAAAGUUGGGCUUUAAGUCUUUUUACUAAGCUCUAGAUGCUUUUAGAAAUUAGUUGAGACGGCGCCUCUGAAAGGGCACACCUAGGCCUCAUGAGCCCUUCUGGAGGACGCCUAAGCCUUUCUAUAUGGCAUUCGAGCUCUUAGGAAUAUAUCGACGGUCCACUUCCCCCCAAACACGAGUCUUGGGACAAGGCGAAAUGGUUAGUAAUAACGUUGCUCCUUUGAUAUUGGAGUAUGGGCAAUAACUAAAUUUUACAUGUCCCUGGACGAGUUCAUUAGCGUAUGGCAUGGGCGAGCCCUUUGUGGCGUUAUAGUAUUCUGCAACUUUAUUGUUGAUGUAACUUAACUGGGCAAGUUAUUCGAACCGUCUGCAGUACUUUUUUCUACUUAUCGUAUUUAUUCUGGAUGGAAAGUAAUGUUUUAUCUCUUUGAAAAUUGUGAUUUUCUAGUUUGCCUCUGUGGCUUUUUCAUAGAUUCAACAUUUAAAUUGCUUUCUGGUGUAGCUUUUACUUUAUGAUUUAUUUUUAUAUAAGGCAUUUGGCGCACUUGGAUCCAUCUUAGGGGUUGAAGUAAAGUCCACAUUGAGAGCCCCAUUUCAGGCUUGACGAAUUUGGCAAUAUUAGAGCCGCAUUCAAAAUUUUAAAUUGAUAAGGACCUAACACAGAAGGUCCGGGGUUCGAGCCCCGGACACCGCCAAAAAAAAAUUAUCCAUAUUAACAAUUGAUAUGUUUUUAUUAUAAUGACUAGGUAAAUAAUAUGUACCACCAUUGGAGCGGAAAUUUUUUAGUGCUUGAUGUCAAAUCAUCCUACGUUACUUUCAGCAUGUUUUUCAAUCAUUUUAGCAACAGUUUGAGUCAAUAAAGAGGAAUUUUAGAAACAAUUAUUUAUGCGGGUUUGAGGAAAAAGCCUAGUUUUUCAGCCCAAACAUAGUUGAAAACUUGCCUAUAAAUAUAAUAGCAUUCACUCACAAAUUGUCAUCCAGAACUUGACAGUUCAAGAGGAAGGCAAACACUAAGAGAAUCAACGGAGAAGUUUCUCCUCAACCUUUGUUCAUAUAUAAUGUUUUAUUUCUUUUUUAAUUUAUCUUUAGUUACCAUGAGUAACUAAACACCUAUUGAUUAAGGUUCUGAGAUGAAUCUCUAUUUGUUUGUUGGAUUUCAUUCAUACAAGUCUUUUAUUCAGUUAUAUUUUAAGAUCUAUUUUUUUGUAUGCAUCGGGCUUAGUGCUUUAACAACCUUAGGGAGUUUGACAUACUUAUAAAGUGUGCAUGAACUUAGAAAUAGUUUGCAGAGGUAUUUCUAAUCUAAUUUUCAAAUCGUUGCAUAUGAAUCUUAUUCUUUUCCCGUAGUAAGAUAUGAUUAGGCCUAUCCAUUAAUCUACUAGGGACAAGUAAGGAUAUGUAGUGAAAUUUUAAGAUUCAUAGGUGAUGACAGUCAGUCAUACACUAUUUUUAGAGUUUUUUUAGUUAAGUGUUUAGUCUAUUUUAUUAGUUUAAUAUUUAAUUUUGAGUUAUUUUAAAUAAAUUAUCAUUUUCUUAUUUAUUGAGUUAAUUAGUGUAUUAGUGCCUAUUAUUACUAUGAUGAAUGGCUAGAUUAGAUACGGAAGGCGUGACCUAUUUUGAAGUGUUAAACAGUGAAGAUUAAAUGACAAUAUGAUGGUUAAAUUACUCAUUGACCACAUGGCAAUCCUUGGGUGGUGUGAAUUAAAAUACUUUGGGCUUAAGCAAAACAAAAGGAAGGAGAGCGUAACAUGCUGAAAAGAAAAACUAGGUUACAUAUCUAUAUAAAGGAAGCAACACGCACAAGACCAGUAAUUCACGUUUCGGCACUGGAAUCACGUUUUGGAACAAAGCCACGCCAGGAAAAGGAACGGGAACGUGAGGGAAUAGAAGGCAACAGGAAACUCACGAAGCAGUAGAGAACCGAGCCACAACAUGGUUUCAUGGUUAAUUUUAUUUCCCAUGCUAUUUAUUUGUAUCUCUAUGUCUAGCUAAUUUCCCUCUUGAUUAAGCUAUGAUGAACCUAUUGUAAUAUAUGAAUCAGUAGUUUAUCCUCUCUUUAUUAUUAAUGUUAUUCAGUCUUUAUUCAAAAUUACUUGUGUUCAUAGCUUUUCAAAUAAUUGAUUUGUAUGACUAUUAACCCUAGCUUCGUGCAAUUACAUGAAUUGAUAUUAGGAAUUGAAUGACUAUUAACCCUAGCUUUUAAUCAUGAAAUAGUAAUCCUGUUUGAUUCAACAUAAGAACCUAGAGAUAGGAAAUUGAGGAUCAUGACUCAUGAAUUAACGUUCUUUUAUCGCUUCCGCGGUAUUCAAUCGGCUUAAGAGAUUAAAAGGUUAUAACUUAGGAAAGGGGUUUGAGUCAAGAGAUUGAUCAAAUCUACUUAGUUAAUUUGUCGUAAAGAUUGAAUAGCAAUUAGGAAUAAAGGGAGGUAAACUUCUCAUAUAAAGCAAUAGAGGAUUCAUCGGUUUAAUCAUCCUUUUCAAAUCAUCUUUCAACAACUUUUAUUACUUUUUAUGCACACAAACCUACUGCCUCAAACACUUAUAAAAUUUACACAUCCUAGAUAUUAACUUUAUUGCUAAGUUGAGAUUAACACAGUCCUCGUGGAUACGAACUUAUUUUAUUACUUCGAUAGUUUUAGUACACUUGCUAAAAGUUUAUCAAUAGGUAAAAGUGGUUCCUUUAGAUGAUAAUUUAGGAAUUUCUACUAUGUUUAUGUUUCAAUAACCGAUGAAAUUGUAAGUCCCUGACAUAAUCAACAGAGUGACUGCAUCUGGACACCUAGUGGAUUGACGAACCUUUACCAUAUCACACGCAAAACCUUUAGGGUGAUUAAGGAACAACAUGGCAUAUGAGACGUUAGAUCUCACCGAACUAACCACUUAAUAGAACCCUUCAACUGUUUCGCUUAAUCAAAUUAAACUUGCAAACUCCCCCUAUUUUUUUUUGUUUUUUUGUUUUUAUUAAGUUUAGCCAGUUGCCUCGUUGAUAUGGCAAUCACUGUGGAGUUGAUUUUUCUUUUUUUAAGAAGUUAAGCUAACCCAUCAAAAUUGAAAUUAGAGAGAAUCGAACUUGAGACCUCAAGGAGGAGCACACCCCCCAAAUUCCAAACCAAUACCACUAGGCCAACCCAAAUGGAUUUCAUUGUGGAGUCGAUUUUACUUACUUGGGUUGGCCUAAUAUUAAUUAAAAGUACAAUUAAAAUGUGAAAAUAAUACUAAUUUUAAGUCUAAUGUCAUAAAAAAAUAAUGAUUAAGACUGUAGGAUAACUUAUCUUUUGAACGGUCAAUCAUAGUAGUCCACUCGUCCACCACAUCAAUAAUAGUACUAGUAUAAAGUCUUCUAGAAAAAAAUAAGCAUAGUUUUUUUUAUUUGAAAUGAUCAAUUAUUAUUCUCCUUAUUUAUUCCGGUUCAAAUAAAGAAUCUUCAACUUCUUAUCGUUCUUCAAUUUAAAUCAAUUGAGCUAUAUAAUGAUUAUCACAAGUCUAAUAUAUAUUGCAUAUAUUUGAAGCUACCACAUCAAUAAUUGAUUUUUCUCUUCACAAAAACCGCCUCAAUGUUUUGUACCAUUAUAUUUAUAAAUCCGCCAUCUUUGACGAAUACUUAAUCACCCUGAAAAUUCCUCCAAUUUAUAUUUUCUUAUCACCGUAUACUAUUCCAAUAAUAACAAAAAAAAAAAAAAAAAAAAAACACCACCAAACACAUACUGAGCUUAAUUUCACCUACCCCAAAAUGGUGGUAGUACACAUGCAACAACAACACCAACCAAAUAUCAUAUAUAAUAAUGUUUAUGUUAAUCUCUUAACACUCAGAAUUUACACACCAGCUACAAACGUUAACAUCUUCUCAUAAUCAUAGUCACUUUGUGUUGAUUUUCAUUGAGAAAUUCAUCAUCAUGGGUGUACAAACUCAGGAGUAUGCUACCCCUGCUGCUGUUCCUCCUGUUAGGCUCUUCAAAGCCAUGUCAUUAGAGUUUCAUAAUCUCUUCCCAAAGCUUGUGGAAAUAAUCCAAAGUAUUGAGUUCACUGAAGGAACUGGUGGUGCUGGAACAAUCAAGAAGCUCACCACAGUUGAAGGUUAGUAAUUAAAUGAUAUCUUUUAAUUCCAUGACAUUAGGAUUUGUGUCUUUGUUAGAGUGAAAAGUGAGGACUUUUGUAGGAAAAAAAAUCUGCAACUAAAAUUGCUAAUCUUUAUUUAUAAAAAUUGGAUAAGAGAAAAUUAUAAUUAAUUAAAAUGACAAUAAUAAUUAUUUUAUAACAGUCUCAUGUCUCAUAGUGUUUGAACUCUAUCUUUUUAGACCAUAAUUUGGACCUCCUUAUAUCGUGGUAUUAUCUUAAACUUGAACUUUUUGGAUCGAUUAUGAGACUAAUACACAUAUCCAAAAAGUGUCCCAACGAAGAAAAAUGAUAUAAUUGUUUUAAACAAGAAACUAUGAUCAUUUUUUUUUUUUUAUAGACAAAUAUUAGUGGUUAAUUCGUUUAGAGAGAGGAUGAAUUGAAAUGAGUAAAUUUGAUGAAUGCAGGUGGAGAGACCAAGUAUGUGCUACACAGAGUGGAUGAAAUUGAUGAAACAAAAUUUGUGUACAACUUUAGCAUUAUUGGGGGCACUGGAUUGGCUGACACAUUGGAAAAAGUCUCAUUCAAAAGCCAAUUGGUGGAAGGACCAAAUGGUGGGUCCAUUAGGAAUGUACAUGUUGAUUAUUUUACCAAAGGUGAUUAUAAUCUAAGUGAGGAGGAAUUGAAAGCUGGUAAAGCAAAGGUUGAAGGACUUGUAAAGCUUGUUGAAGGUUACCUUUUGGCAAAUCCUGAUUACUGAAUAUGUUUAAUUAGGGUUAAUAAGAACUUGGCUAUAUGGUGCAAAUUAAUAACAGCCAGAUCAAGGUUGGGUUGUAAGAUGAAAGCCUAAGUAUGAGUUAUGAGAAUGAUUUUGUAUUUGAAGAAAAUUGAUGUGUUGCAAUUCGAGUGUUAAGAUGUAAGAUGAACACAAGUUGAUUAAAGAUGUUUGAACCUUACAUUUUUUUUUUUUUUUAAUAUAAGAUGAAAUAUUUGGUAAUUGACUGAGUGAGUGAUGGACCAAAGAUUGGAAGGGAUGUAUUUUAUUUAAUUAGGAUUUAUAAGAACUUGGCUAUAUGGUGCAAAUUAAUAAAGGUUCGGUUAUAAGAUGAAGCCUCAAGGAAAACAAAUACUUACUACUGGCUAGUGUCAUAACUAGUGUCAUCAAGUAAUGUAUGACUAAUUCUUAAUGAAUUAAAAGGUAAAAGGUGAAUUUUCUGACUUAGAUAACAUAUUCUGCAAACUUAUUCAAACAUCGGUGUCAUUUAUGAAAGAAUAUGUUGAAAUAGAUGUGUUUGCUGUUUGACUAAGAUUGAUUUUGAGGUAAAAAUUAUUAUAUUUUAUCAAAUUAAACAAAGUUAGAAUUGGAUCGAUUCAUUAAAGGUUUAUCGAUAUAUAAUUAUAUAUUUAUUGGUCUAGAGGUCAAGACAUACUCAAAUAUUAAACAUACAGAGGAAGGUGAAUUUGGUGACCUUGCUUAGAACCCAGAAUUCCACAUAAAAUAUUCACACAAUUAAACCACUAAGCUGUUGGAAAGGAAAAAGAAAAAAAAACUAAACCACUAGGCUAUAAUUAAAUAACACCGUCUUAUGUAGGUAGAGAUUUUGAAUAAAUAUGUUUUGCAAUCUAUCGUGUCUUAUGUGAUGUGCAUUUUUCUUAGUCUAACUCACUUAUUGAUGAGAUUGAGAAAAUUUGAAUUCAUUUUGAUAAGUGAUAGCGAGAGUGAUUCUAGAGGCAUGCACCGGCUAUGAAGUUCAUCAAAAAUUCAAGUAAUUGAAUCCUAAAUAUGAUUUUUUAUUUUUUUUUAUUUUAUUAAAGCAUUGGUCACAACUCAAGCUAUGUUUGACGUACCAUAUUUAAAUCAGUUGUGCACGGAGGUUUCAAGUGGAGUAUUUGGAUGGGAGAAAACAAAGUUAUCAUUAGAGUAAUUUGAGAGAGAGAGAGAGAGAGAGAGAGAGAGAGAGAGAGAGAGAGAGAGAGAGAGAGAGAGAGAGAGUUGUGUGCAAAGGGUACAUGAAAACUCAACAAAAUUAGGGGAAGGUCAAAUGCGGGUUGUCACGUACAUCUAAAACCGAUCAUAAACACACGCACACAUGAGUCUAGUUUUUUUUUUUUGGACAUAAACCAAGCUUUUGCAUUAAACAGUGGGCAAAUCAUUACAAUACACUGAUAAACACCUAUCUGAAAUACAUCCAUUCCAACUCUUACAACCUACAACUUUUGAUAAUUGAGCAAGGCUGUGAGCCACUUUGUUGCAAUCUCUGCUAAUGCUACAAACAGACACAUUAGCUAACUUAGACAUGUAUUCUAAACAAUCUAAAAUUAGAGGUUCAAUUUCAGCCAACACAAAAUCACCAUACAGUCUUUUCACCACCGUUUCGGCAUCUGUUUCAAUAAUGACAUUUGAGAACUGUUUUUCAAGUACCCACGCGAGGCACCAUCUCACCCCCAAACACUUAGCCAGCAGCGGUGAAUAGGAAAUACCAUCAGAUUUGGUUUCAGCAGAUAGAGCCAAUCCUGCAGCAUUGCGAGCAAUGAAGCCCCACCCUGUACUCCCGUCUCCGAAACACCCUGCAUCAACAUUAACCUUAAUUGAACCAAAAGGGGGAGGUUGCCAUCUAGGGACAACGUGCACCUGACCCCUUUUAAGAGGCAGAUUUGCAAUCGAAAAUUCCUCCACAAGCGCAGACACCUUCUGAGACACUAGUAGCGGAUCAAAAUCAACAUUAUUGAAAACUUUUUGAUUCCUAUGCUUCCAAAUUAGCCACAGGGAGGUGCCAAACAGUUGUUUCACACGCUGCUCUGGGACAGCCAAACACUUCUCCAUCCAGCUCAAUAAAUCUAACUGCACCGGAACAUGUAUCGCAAGAGGAGAUGCAAACCAAACUGCUAUAGCAGCGGGGCAGCGCAUGAAUAAGUGGUCCCUGUUCUCAAUUUCAACAUGACAGAGAGGGCAAUUCAUAUCAAGACUUAUGCCUUUCUUACCCAAAUUGCUCCUGGUAGGCAGAAUGUCCUUCGCAAGACACCAUAAGAAAUUCUGCACACUCCUCGGAGCCGGAGUAUUCCAGAUUUGCUUCCAUAUCACAGGGUUGUUUGCAGAAGAGGACUCAACUUGGUUAGAGAAAUUUUCAUUGCAUAGGGAAUGAUGAGCAGAUCUGACAGAGUAAAUCCCAUCCUUCUCCCAAUGCCAAAUGAUUUUAUCCGCUGGCUGUCUCAUGGAUAAGGGAAUUUUGAUGAUUUGACGCGCCGCGUAAUUGUUGAAACUACGGAAAAUAAGGUCUCUAUUCCACUGCUUUGUGUCACAAUCAAUCAAUUCAUCAACAGUAGCUGCCACACUAAGACUUCCGCCCACAUGGUUCAGUUUGAAUUCACGCUUUGAGGGGAUCCAGUUGUCUUUGAAUAUUUUGAUGCUUCUACCAUUACCCACUUCCCAUCUAGCUUCUGAUUCAAUUACUCUUGUGGCUGAGAGCAAGCUUCGCCAUGCAUAGCUAGGUUGAAAUCCUGCUUUAGCUUCCAUAAAAGACGACCUAGGAAAGUAUCUAGCUUUGAACAUUCUUGCCACAAGUGAUGAUGUGUCUUGCAUGAUCCUCCAACAUUGUUUCCCUAGGAGAGCACUGUUGAAAUCAGAGAAGGAUCUGAAACCUAACCCUCCUUUCCCUUUAACAGCACCCAUUCUUUUCCAACUAACCCAAUGCACCUUUCUGCAAGUUUCAUCUGAUCCCCACCAAAACUUAGCAAGCAUUCCUUCAAUGGCAUGACAACAUCCUUCCGGUAACUUGUAGCAGCUCAUGAUGUAAUUCGGAAUGGCUUGUGCAACAGCUUUAAUUAGAGUCUCUUUUCCGACCCGGGAUAGGAAUUUCUCUUUCCAACCUUUAACCUUUUUCCAGACUCUCUCCUAAACAAAUGAAAAUAUAUCCCUUUUAGAUCUUCCAAACACAACUGGAAGGCCUAGGUACCUUGAGUGGGAUGUCACACAGUCUUUAUAGCUAUCUGCUGACAGAUCAUUUCUUUCUCUUGAUUUUGGACAUUUCGACUAUAUGACAAAAGUUAUGGUCAAUCCUUGUAGAUCAUAUUCAUGGUCAAUAGGAUUACUCUUUCCGUCACAUCGUCUGUAAAUACCACUUGUAAGUUUAGGGUUUAGACACAUUUAAUCAAUCAAAAUAUCAUUUUCACUUGCUUUUACAUCUGUCUAUUUUUUAUUUUACUGUUAUUUUCUUAGCUUAGUUCUCAAAAUUCCUAAAUUUUUUUAUUUAAGUUCUUAGGAGAAGUUAUGCAACCCACAAUUGAGGGAUAAAACGUAUUUCCUAGCGUAAUCAUCUAAAGAAAUGAGAAUUACUUUGAAAGCUAUUACUCAAAUUCUCGUUAACUAUUAAAUUCGAUAAUAAUAGGUAUUGUUCAAAAGACGUAAAAACAACUCCAAAUUCGAUAUUCAUGUAAAUGCUUAGAAUAAUGAUGUAGACCAAAUGGACUUCAAUUCGAUAUAUUCGUUGCAGUCUUAUAAUAAGGUAGGGACAAAUUGAAUAAACAAAUAGAAGUUCUAUGACUAAAGAAUGUGAAAGCAUAAAAUGAUAUGCAUAGGUAGCCAAUUUUGAAACUUGGCCGUCCUUGAAUUCCGAGGUUAUAUAUCAUUGAGUUGAAAACACUCUUUUGAAAAUAUUAGCUCCAUAAUUUAUUUAUUGAUUUAAAAAAUAAUACAAGUUGUAUUUUAAAUGAUAAAAAACAUAACUAUAAAAUUCAUACAUAUUAAAUAUUGAGAAGAAAGAAAUUACAAGUUCAAAUCGAUAUCCCGGAAUAUCCAUAAUAGAAGCUCUUUAUUUCCGAAAGUGGUAAUUACACUUGAUAGUGGUAAUAGAUAUAAAUUUUAUGUUUGAUUAUUUUUGUGAACAAAAUUAUAUGAUAAAGGAUAUGUUUAGGCAUCUCCAACAAAUUAAUAGACUUUUGCCUACGGUUUGCAAAAAAGAAACUAAAAAAAUUAAAUAAAUUUAAUUGCAUGUUUGAUCCCUUAAAUUUAAUUUAAGUUUUAGUGUUGAUCUCUUAUGUUUUAAAAGUUUUAAUUGGUCUAAAAUAUUAUUCACAUUGAAAUAAGUUAAUCAUUUCUGUCACUUGCUCGUUUAGAUAUUUGAGUUGAGAAUACAGGUGUUGAAGUUUAACUUAUUAAAAAAAUCAAUUUUUAUUUUUAUUUUAUUAAACUCAAUAUUAUGUGACGGAAGAGAUUAACUAAUUGAAAUGUGAAUAACGUUUUAGACCAACUUGAAUUUUUUAAAACAUAAGAGACAAACUUAAAACUUUUAAAGUUUAAGGAAUCAAUUUAAAACCUAACAUGAACGUAUGGGACCAAACAUAUAAUUAAGAAAAAAAAUACUACCUCCUUUCUUUUUUUAUAAGAAAAUUUGGGUCAACAUUUUUGAACCAAAUUAUAAUUCUUAUUGACCAAUAUGUCUCCUAUAAAAAAGCAUCGUAACAAAAUUUAUCAGUGUGAUUUGAGGAAUGAACACAGACGUGUCGUAUAAAUUUGAAGUAUUAAGUCGUAUGAUCUCAUUGUCAUUUGAUUUGUUUAUGUGUCGUAUAUAGAAAACUCAUUUAUUGUCACUACGUGAACAAUUCAUUGAACCCAACAAGAAUUCAUUCUUGUUAAUACGUGGGUGAUUAUCAUUCUAGUUCUAGAACAUAAACUUUAGUUUUGUACUAUCACUAAUAUUCUAUAAUUUCUUUUUUAAAAUCAAAUAUCUUUAACGAGUAUAUACUAAUAGAAUCAUAAUAAAUCAUACAAAACUAGGGGCGGCAUGGGAAGGUCAUGGCCACCCCAUUUUUGUCUCUUUUUAUAGUGCUAUAAGUAAUUACUUCACUUUUUCUUUUAUUUUUGUCUUUUGAGUUUUUUUUCUUUAUUUUGGUCCUUAAAUUAUAAAUGUUAGACGAUUUAAUUUUUAAGUUUUUUAAAUUUCUUUUUGGUCACUUAAUCAACAAAUACUAGAUAUUUUGAUUUUAAGUUACAAACUUUAGACAUUUUAAUCUAUCCUAUUAAAAAUUGAAAUGUCUUAAUAUUUCUAACUUAAGAAACAAAAGUGUCCAACUUCCAAAAUAUAAGGGACGAAAAUAAAACGAAAAAAAAUAAAGAACCAAAUUAUAUAUAAUUUGUAACUUAAGAAACUAAAAUUAAAGAUAAAAGACUUAAGGGGCUAAAGCAAAAUCUAAAAUAACUUAAAUAACAAAAAAUAUAAUUUAACCUAUAUAAAAUUACUUAACUUUAAAAAAAUUGGAACAAUAUUUUUAUUUUAAAUGGUAUAUAAAGGGGGCCCUCUUAAGUAUUAUUUCUAACUCUACCACUUAUUAUAUGACAAAAUAAGGUUAUUAUAUUUCUUAUCAUGUGCGGUUAAACACAUGAUACAAUACUUUUUUGUCAUGACUAUCUCAUAUUCUAUCAUUAUCUUACUUUACAUCAUUCUAUAUUACUUCAUUCUUAACAAUACAAGACAAUUAACUUUUUAGAUGUAUUGUACAAACUAUGUAUUUGAUCUAAUUAUAUAACAGAAACAUCGCUUAUUUAAUAAAUUUAAUUCUUUUUUGUACUAAUUUUGAUGUAGGUGAUCUCUUUAGGUAUUCUACUAUAGGAGACUUGAUUUUUUAAAUAGAUGGUAAUCAUUGGAUGUACUUGAUAUUUUUUGAAGACCAUAAUAUUAUUAUACUCUUUUAAUACUGGAUUUAUUUUACACUAUAUUCCAUCAUCCUUCUCUCUCCCCUUCCUGUCUGCUUAUUGGCCCACUGGCCACCACGAACAACAAUAGCAUGCUCUCAAAUAUAAUGUGUUAGAAAGAAAUAUGGAGUCUUCAAUCAUUGUUCUUAUUAAGAUUGAAGAUUUUUGCAGAUAAUUAAGAUUGUACUUCUAUAUUCAUGUUAUUUUGGAUUUUGGAUCUUCAAUAAGCAUAAGGUUAAUUGUUAUUCAUUAGAGUCCAUUUGGUGCACAUGAUAUGAUAGAGAUAUGAUAUGAUUAGAAAAAUUGAUAAAGAUAGAAUAUGAUAAUGGCAGGAUAAAUAUUUAUCCCCUCAUGCAUUUGAUGCACACAUAAUAAGAAAUAUGAUAACAUUAUUUUAUCCUAUCAUAUGUUUGGUGGAAAAACUUAACAACGUGCAUAUUCAUCUCCAUCGUCAAUCUAAGUGACUUUAAUAUCAAACAUUUAUUUACAGAUUAGUGUCAAAGUCUCAUUGAUAGGUUCGUUCACAAAUCAUUUUGGCUCUGUUUGGUAAAAAUAGCGGAUAGCUGAUAAGCUAGCUGAUAGCUUUUAGCUGAUAAGCUAAUUGAAGUGUUUGGUAAAAAUAGCAGUUCAACUAGCUAAUAAAUGUAAAAUGACAUAAAGGGUAUUCUUAAUUCAUAAUAAAAAUUAUAUCAUUAAUUUAAGUAUUUGUAAUUUUAUAAACUAAUUUUUCUUUAAAAAGAUACUUUAAAUUUAUUAAUUUAAUAUAUCCUAUGUAUUAUAAAUUAAAUUAAAUUUUAUUCACUAAAAUUUUAUCUUAUAUUUAUUAUCAUUUAAGUGUUUUCACUUUAUAAAAAAAAUAACAUUUACCUCAAAAACAAAAAAAAAGGUAGCACUAAUAGAGUAAUACUAAUAACAGAGAAUAAAGAAAAUAACACUUACCUCAAAAAAAAAAAAAACACUAAUAGAAUAAUAGUAUUUUGUUUCGUAAAAAAAAACGAAGGUAUAUAUUUUUUCAAAAAAAAAAAAAAAAGGUCAGCUAAUAUAUAUACAAAAAUUGGAAUAAAGGGAUAAUAGUCUUUAUUAUGUAGCUUAUUAUAAAAAUUAUAAUGGAUAAAAAUACAAUUUAAAUGAAAUAAUAAGGGUAAAAUUGGAAGAAAAAGUGAGAAGUUAUAAGCUAUAAGUUCAAACGUUACUUGAAAUAGCUUCUGAAAAAUAGCUUAUAAACUUGUGAAAUAAGUUAUAAACUCAUGGUGAAAAGGUGUUACCGAACAGAGCUUUUUUUGUCAAACGAGCUUAUAAGCUAUAAGUUAAAAGCUAAAAGCUUUUUUUUGGUUAACCAAACAGACCCAAACUUAUAAGCUUUGUAUAACGAAAAUGAAUCCGUCACUAUUUUGUCUCUCCAUUGUGUCACAAACUUGUACUCUAUCGCUAUACCAAGCCAGAUUCAUCCCAGUCAAAAAAAGCCUGAUGAACCUUUUUCUUUACCGAAAGUAAAUAAAUAUAUAUACUCAUAUAUAUGAAUGACAACUGAUUUUAGUGGGACCUGUCUUUCUAUAAUUAAAAUAAACAGGGAGAUUUUAUUAUUAUUAUUAUUAUAGUUGAACAUUUUAAUAGACGAACAAUGAAAAAUAACUUAAUUCUUUAUCAAACUUAAAUCUAGAUAUACAAAAUUAAAAUCCAAAAUUAAUUACUAAUUUUAAUUAGACAUUAUUUUAUACAAAUUUGCUCAUAACAACACAAUCUUUUCAAACCUCAAAUUUUAAAACAUACAUCUUGAAUAUUACUUUUGGUAUAAACAUCUUGAAUAUCAUAUUGACACUAAAAUUCAGAUAAAGUUAAAUAUUUUAGAUAUUAUAAAACUGAAACAAGCAAAUUAAAAAUACAACAUAUAGUCUCCAUGAGCUUAGCUCAGUUGGCAAUGACAUUGCAUAAUAUAUGUAGGGGUUGAGAUUCGAACCCCAGACAUCUCACUUCUGCAUAUUUAAUAUGUGUGAGCUCUAUCCACCAGACUACUUGACAAAAAAAAAAAUACAAUAUAUAGUAUACAAUAAAAUAUUUCGGCUUAUAAAAAAAUACGAUGAAAUAUUUUGUAUGUCGGUGUCCUUUUCCUCAUGUAGAUAAAUGAUAUUAAAAUACUUUUGUGGAAGAAAAAAAUUAUAUUAAAAUGCAUAACAGUAAAUUAAGAUUUUUUUAAAUAAUAAUAAAUUAAAGUUUAUUUUAGAAGUAAUAAUAAGGUAAAGAUUGUUAAAUCAACAUUUGUCCUCGUAAGGUUAGCUCAGUUGAUUAGGAUAAUGCAUAAAAUAUGCAAGGUCGGGGUUCAAACCUCGACCACUACCAAAAAUAAAAAUCAACAUUUGAACUCAAAAUUAUAAGUGCCCGACAACUAAAUAUAUUGAAUUUUCUUUCAAAAAAAAACUAAAUAUAUUCCUUUAAGUUAAAAAAACAUCAAUCAAUUUAAUUCUUUCAACAAAAUAUCUUAUCAAAAGACCUAGAUAUAUUUUUUUGGGAAACUAUGUUAUUAGUGUGCAUCAUUUAUUGAUUUUAGUGAUCAUUAACUUCCGUUGAAGAAUCUAGUCAAAUAAGAUAUCUACCAAAAUAUAUAAAUAAAUAUAAAAAAAAAAAAUAUAUUGUCUUAAAUUUAAAAGUAACUUAAUCGACCAAUACUCUUCAAUUUGAAAAACUAACUUGCUAAUUUAUAAAUUUAAAAGACUAAAAAUCUAACUUUUACAAUUUCAAAGACAAAAAUGUUGAUUUACAAAACAAUCUACACCUAUCUUGUUCUAAAAACACAAACGAGUGCUAGACUUAUUCACAUAUUGUCAAAUUUAUACAGCACAAAGAUAUGCAUUAAUUGACCCAAUAAUAUUAAAAUAUCACUAGUUCACGAUCAGGACUCACCAACAACCUCAAUGAGCUGAACAAAGUGAGAUUUCCAAAUAGGUCCUACCAAAGUUCUAUAAAUAUCAUCCCUCACUAUGUCAUAAACCGCAUCACAAACUAAAUUAGUUGUAUUCAUAUUAUAUACCACUUCUUUCAUUUACUUCUUGAAUUUUGAUCCUUUUUAAUUAUCUUGAUAUAUAUCAUGGGUGUUUUUACUUUCAAUGAUGAACAUGUCUCAACCGUGGCUCCAGCUAAACUCUACAAAGCUCUUGCAAAAGAUGCUGAUGAAAUUGUCCCAAAGGUGAUUUCUGCUGCCCAAAGUGUUGAAAUUGUUGAAGGAAAUGGAGGACCAGGAACCAUUAAGAAGUUAUCCAUUGUUGAAGGUAAUUAAGAUCACAUACUAUGUACAAAUAUAUAAUACUUAACAUCAAAUGAUACAUAGUGUUCGCGUAAAAUUGUUUUGCACCGACAACCGAUCAAUGUUUGUCGGUACAACAAAGAAUUGGGUUACUACCUUUUAUUUGAAAAUUGACAAACAUGAUGUGACAAAUUAAAGAGUUGUAAUUGAUUAAAUGAUACAUAGUUUUAAUAAUUUGAUUAAAUGAUUCACAAAUAAGUUAAGUUAAAUUCAUUAUUACCAAAAAAACAAAGUUAAAUUCAAGUGUAGUAAAAAAAAAAUUAUUCAAUUCUAUUUGGAUAGUCAUUGUAGAAUUUUAAAAUAUAAUCUUGAGAAAUAAAGGAGACAAUACAUAAGCUUGUACCAAGGGCAUGUCUAAUAAUUAUGGACCUUCAAAAAAAAAAUGAUUCAGGUGAUUCAGGACACUUGGUAAAGUUCAAAACGAUCUUUAACCGAAAGAGUUUUUAGUCAAACUAUACUUAUAUUGAAAAAAGAACUAUAUAAAUAAGGAAAAUGUUAACAAGUGUCCUUAAGGUAUUGUUUAAGCAUCCAAAAUUAGUAGUUUUUACUUUGAAAAUUGUGUAAUUAUGACUUGUAUAUAUGUUUGACUUGUAUUUUCAAGACAAACUUUUUUUUUGUGGAUUCCUUUAACAAUGUCCUUAAGACACUUGUUAACAAGACCAUGUAAAUAAUUAUAAUGGUUAUAUUGCAGAUGGCAAAACCAACUUUGUGCUACACAAAUUAGAUGCAGUAGAUGAGGCAAACUAUGGAUAUAACUACAGCUUAGUAGGAGGAACAGGGUUGGAUGAAAGUUUAGAGAAAGUUGAAUUCGAGACAAAUAUUGUUGCUGGGUCUGAUGGUGGAUCCAUUGUUAAGAUUUCAGUGAAAUAUCACACCAAAGGUGAUGCAGUUCUAUCUGAUGCAGUACGUGAGGAGACUAAGGCCAAAGGAACUGGUCUUAUCAAGGCUAUUGAGGGCUACGUCUUGGCAAACCCUAAUUACUAGCCAAUUAAACCCUAUUGAGGACUUUAAUUUGGGUUGUGUUGUUUUAUGCGAAUAAUAAUUAAAGUUUAUGAUGUAGUUGAAUGUGUGUUGAGUAUACAUCAAGGUCUUUGGUUCGUACAUGUGUGUUGGCUAUGUUGGAUGUUGUGAGGUUUGAGUGUUAUUUUGGGUGUUUAAAAACAAAAACCUAUGUUGUGUUGGUGAUAAGGUUUUGCACCAUUUGUAUUCUGCAAUAAAUAAUGCAAAAGAAUUUUAUAGCACUUUCGGUUAUUUGAAUUUAAUUUAGGAUCACAUCAAACUAACAGUGCAUAUGACUUUCGAUUGGUAAUUUUAACCAAAGCUGUCUACAAUUAUUUAAAUAGUUUGGUUGAGUUUUGUCUUGAAUUGAUUUGAGCAAUUUAAAGUAAGUGAAUCAUAUUUUGAAAGAGUCAUCAUGACAAAUUUGAUUUUUAAAACAAAACCCCCAGUGUGUAAAAUAAGCAUGAUGAUGAGGCGGGUGAUGAUGAGUUUUACCUUCCCCAUCCUUAUACCCUACUCUCAUAUACUUACCUGCCACUUUACCUAUAUCUAAUGAGGGUGAGAAGUCGAACCCCAUCACUGUCUCCGACGGGUUUAGGUAUCCCCGCGUCAUCUCCGUUGUGGAUAAUUUUUUUUAAUGAAAAAAGUGUUUUUCUACUUCAGGCGCAAUGUUGUAAUACAUUAUCCUACAAAGAGAUGAUGACGAUCGAUAACUACGUUGAUGGAGAAGUGAGAGACCGAGAUUGAGAAGUGAGAAUCAUCUGAGAGACUAAGACUCUGACUAUGUGAGGAGAAUAAAGAGAACUCUGAGAAGUGAGUGUCAUCUGAGAGACUAAGUUUUGAUUGUGUGAGUGAAAUGAUUUAGGGUUUGAGUUUCUAUUUAUAUAAAAUGGAUAAUAAAUUGAUUUUCUACAUGUGGGGCGGGUUUGAGUGUGGGUUCGGGGUGAAUACAUAUAUCCUCGUUACCUAUCCAGUAUCCAUGUUUUGAAUCAUGGAAAAUUCAAACUCAUACCCAAAUCCAAUAAAAGCAGAGAAAAUCCGUCAAAUUAGAUUUGUUUCAAAUGGGUACCCGCAGAUAUGCAUUUUGUUGUCUUACCUCAAAAUCACUAUUUAGUAUAGAAAAGUUAACUUGUAACUAAUGUACAACUUAAAGUUAAGAAGUUAAAUGCAAAAUUAUAUUUAGAAAUUGCGCAUUUCUUAUCCUAAAGUUUCUUCUUUUUCAAGGGUAAUUCCUUGAGAGUUUAAAAACUAAAUUUUAAUUCAAUACAAAAAUUUUGUUUUGAUUUCAUUUUUAGAUCGUUAAUUUGUGUCCUUGGUAUACAAAUUAACCUAACUCAUUGAGUAUGUGUUUGUUUUUUCUUAAAAAGAGUAUGUGUUUAGCUGUAAAAUAACAUUAAACAUGAGUCGUCCAACCUGACACUCUAAUUAGUAGCUUCUGAACCUCAUGAUUAAAUGGUAACUCACAUUGGCUGUGAACUAACUCUAUCCCAAAUUGGUGCUUAAUACGCUAAUUUAGGGAUAUUUGUGGUGCAGUUUGAAUUAGUUUUGAUGCAAAUAGUCAUCAUAUUUAAAAUAAAAAUCGCAUGCGGAAAAUAUAGGGUAAAAUAUAACGUUUAAUGGAAAAUAUAGCAUGAAUAUAUAUUAAAAAAUAAUAUUACAGAAUAAAAAUUAUCAAUUAUAUUCUAAACAUAGGAAGAAGUAAUACUAUACAAUAAAUUAAUGCAAUAUAUAAAAAAAAAUAAAAAAUAAAACCGAGAAGCUAUAUAUUAAUGCAAUACACACACUAAUAAAAUAAUAAAUAAGUAUUAAAAUUUACAAAACAACAUCCAAAAAAAAUCAAUUUUUUUGUUGUUGUUUUUUUUGGAUUAGUGUACGGUUUUAUUUUGGAUGCGUUUGAAUUUGAAUAACCACAUGCCUACUAGGCUAACUGUGUAUAUUAUUUAGGAAAUGUCAUAAAAGGUACUCCCUCAAUCUUAAAUAAUUAUCAUUAUUUAACUUUCAUCCAUAUCAAUGUACAAUUUUAACUAUUAAUAUUCUUAGUUAUUUAUUAAUAAAAGUUGUAAAAAAUUGAUAUUUUAAAAAUAUUCGUUGAGAUAAAUUGAACAAUAUUUUAUUUACUAACAUUUUAUUUACAAAUAUGAUCAAAGUAGAUUAUGUGAAUCGUACGUAUGGUCAAACUAUGACAAUAAUUUUGAAAUAGAUGGAGUAAUUUUGAAAAUAGAAAAGAGAAAUGUUAGCUAGUGCCUUCCGGUGCACUAGCUAUAUGAAAAACGUGUGGAGUAAUUUUGAAACCAAUAUAGAAAAUUGUGUUGAGAAGUAUGAAAAAGUUGUACGUUCAACUUUUUAAAAGUCAAAAAUUUAUUAUUUUUAUAAAAAAAAAAAUCUACUUCUAAUUUUUUUAACUAAUGCUCCAUAAUCAAUAGUUAGCAUGACUGGAUAAAAAAUGACAUAUCAUAUCAUACUAACAAAUGUUCUAAAGUUACAUUGUUAUGGACAUUUGUUAGCAUUUUUUACUUUUAUUAAAAAAAUAGGCAUUUCACACGGUUACUUUUGGCUUUAUCACAUUUUGCGUUCACAUAUCUUUGUAAAUAAAUAUGCCUUAUAUUGAUCAGGAGUAAAUUGGAACACAACUAGCAUCUCUCCAUUUCUCUCUAUCAUCAUGUGUAUAUCACAAUUUUUUGAAGAAGUUAAAGAAAUCAUGUUAAAAAUCAAAUAAAGCUCCUUUAACAUAUGGUGCGUCAAAGCAACCUAAUAAUCCAAACAGCUCACAUUACAACAUGUCGUAACAACCCAACAAAAAAUUAGAAAACUAUCUUUAAGCAAAACAAAGGAUUUUGCCUCGAAAACACGUGAUAUAAUUUUAACCACCAAUAAAUUUGUAGUUUAAUUUUUUCACUCAGAGAUUGAAGUUGAUUACUCUUCUGUUGAAAGAUCCUAACAUUUCUUUCUUUGAAAUGACGCAAAGCACUGAAAAGUCGAAAGAAGUUCUCCUUGGCGAAUCCCUUUUUUCAACUUAAACUCAUUAGUAAGGCUACCAUUCACAAGUACCGAAGUCGUUGCUGUUGAGACACAUUCUAAAAUCCAUUGACUCCAGCGCUAAGGGUAAUUCAGUUUGGUCAUCAAAUCUCCCAAAUACCUCCAAUGAACUGAGUCAUAGGUUUUUUUGAAAUCAACCUUAAAAAGAAUAAGUUCUUUCUUAGAUUUACACGCAUCACCCUUUAACUCAUUGGCUAUCAGAAUUGCAUCUAAAAUUUGUCUACCUUUUACAAAAGCAAACUAAGAUUCUGAAACACCAUUACUAACCACCUUCCUCAAUCUAUUAGCAAGAACUUUUGACAAAAUUUUAUACACCCUCCGUCCCUUAAUGUAGGCACCUAUUGCCUUUUCACAUUUCUUAAGAAAUGUUGUCAGUGUAAUUAAUGUGUUUGUUUUGUGUGUUAAUAAUUAUCCUUGGUUUGUAUGUAUUAAAUUUGACUUUUCAUAUUUCAAGACAAGUUAGUAGUAUUAAUUAGGGAUAUGUUUAGGAAAAAAUUAAUAAACGCAUCUAGUAAUUUGAAAUGGAAUUUAAAUUUAGAGAAAAAAAUAAAAUCAAACGGAAACUUAGAUAUAAGGACGGGGGAGUAUAAGCUACCAACCAAAGAAAUAGGUUGAAAAUAUGCCAACUUCUAAAGACUCUUAGCUUUGGGAAUCGAAGUAAUAAAAGUAUUUAUGUCCUUUGUUAACUUACCAUUGUGAUGAAACUCAACAAACAAAUUCUUUGAUAAAACCAAUAUUAAUCUCAUCUUGCUCAGGACUCUUAUAACUAUCACAAUCUCACACUCAUGCCUCUAUCUCUUCCAACAAAAAAGGUAUAAUAAGAUCAGCCACAUCCUUCAUACUAAUAGUUUUAAAAGAAAGAUCCCCUAACCCAGGUCUGGACUCCAUUGCAACUUUAAAAUUAGAUUGAAAAUGUUGAAAAGCCACACUCCUCGCCCCUUCCACACCCUUAAUCUGAACACCUUUAACAUUAAUAGAAAUAAUCACAGUUGACCCGUCUCCUAGAAGACACCACCCCAUGGAAAAAAAAAAAAAAAACGAAUUAGCACCACCCUUCUUUAACCAAGUCGAUCUAGAUUUUUGCCACUGAAUACUAAAAUGUAAUUUAUAUAAAGCCACAACAUCUGCUAAUAGAAAUCAAAGAGAGAAAUCAACAUAUCAAACAAAACGAAACCGAAGAACCAAUGCAAAUUGAACUAAAUAACCAACCUAAAUCAAACCACCAUUAAUCAAAUCAUCCUUAUCAAAUCCACCAAUCAAUCACAAUACUAACAAUUCCAUCGUGUGAAGAACAAUGAAUUCAAAUGGAGAAAAACUAAUGGAUAUCAAAAUAAAUCCAUAGAGAACAACCGUGACAAUUGCUUAACAAAUAGUAAUUCAACUAAAAAGAAAAGUCCUAAUCCAACAAAAACCAACACAUUAAUAUCCAAGUGCCAUCAGGACUCAACUGAAUCUUUGAAUCAAAAAAAUAAUAGAUAGCUAAAACAAUAAAUCUUAUAGUUUACAAACAAAUCAAAAUGCAAAACAGAUUCCUAAUUUUUUUUUUUUUUUUUUUGAAAAAUUAACAACGGAAUAGCCGUGAAUCAUAUAAGGAGGGUCAAAACAUGCUCUUGAUACCAUGUUAACAAUAUUAGGUUUAGAGCUCUUAUACAUGGAGCAUCGUAGGUGACAUACAAACUUUCACGGUGUGAUGUGAAAUUACUAAAAUACCCCUGUCACAUGGGGGUAUACAUGAGAGGUACAUAAAAAAGGAUGUCUAUCUAUCUUUUUUCAUAGAUUUAAUAAAAAAGGGAGAAUAACACAAAACAACUAGAAUUUUAUAAAAUGUAGAUGACUUAACAUUACAAAAGGUUAACAUAAACCUAAUGGAUUACUAACUUAAUAAUAGUUUAAGUUAAAAACUUUAUUAUCUAACCAAUUUUAUCUACUUCCAAUAUAUCACCUACGAAUUUUCUAUUUUUGAAUCCCGUCUACACUCUGAGUCAUGGAAUACUGCGAGACUAUUUCAUAUUGAUUUUCGUAACCCAAUUCAAGAUAACACAAAGAGGGUUGACCCAAUCACAAUCACCAAUAAAUAAAUGAGCUUUUGUCAAAAAAAGACGACCUGAUCAAUGAGCUAUUUUUCAACAAAAUAAAGUGAGAUUUACGAACAAGCCACAAGGUAUGUCCUACCAAAGUUCUAUAAAUACCAUUCCUCACCAUCUCAUAAACCCACAUCACAAGCGAAAUUAGUUGUAUUCAUAUUAUACAUUUCUCUUUUCAUUUUCUUCUUGUAUAUUGAUCCUUUUUAACUAUCUUGAUAUAUAUCAUGGGUGUUUUUACUUUCAACGAUGAACAUGUCUCAACCGUGGCUCCAGCUAAACUCUACAAAGCUCUUGCAAAAGAUGCUGAUGAAAUAGUCCCAAAGGUGAUUUCUGCUGCCCAAAGUGUUGAAAUUGUUGAAGGAAAUGGUGGACCUGGCACCAUCAAAAAGUUAUCCAUGUCUGAAGGUAAUUCAUUAAGAGCAUUUACUAUAUCCCUGUCAAAAAAAUACAACUUUAUUAAUUAGUAAUUCAAUAGACAUGUUAAGAAAUCAUAUACUCACUUUUAUUUUUGAAUUAGAUUUUGAGUGUUGAAGGAGACCAAUGAUAAUACAUAAACUGAGUCUAUAUAUAAAUAAUAAGCUUCAAGAAACAACUAAUUUCCAUGGAAAAAGAAUAUAUAAGAUACUUCAUGCAAGAUUCAAGAGAACCACUAAACUGGAGACAGGGCCGGCCUAAGGACCAAACAACCUAAACAAGGGUUUUAGGCUUCAAAACUUUUGGUAAAAAAAAAGGUCUUUAAAAAAUUAAUUUGGUCAUAAGUAUAUUAUAUGACAGAUAAAUUACAGACAUUUGAAUAGCUUAACUGAUCAAAAAGGUUUUAAUUACUCAUGGUCAUGAAUUCAAAUUUUGGUCUCCACGCAAUUGCUUUUAUAUAAAUAUUCUAUUAAAAAAAUAAUUUCAAAGGCCACAUUAAAUUUUUUGAUUUAAGCCUCUUAAUCUGUUGGGUCGGCCAUGGCAGGAGAUCCAACUAUUUGUAUAAACUACAGUCGUUGAAAUGUAACUAUUGUGAGAGUGUUGCUUGUUUUCAUUAUAUAUAGUAGUUAUAUAUUCAAAUGAAAUGAAUGAUCAAAUUAACACUAAAAUUUAGUUAAAAUCAUUUCAAAUAUCAAUAUAUUAUUGUCAAGAUUAAAUUAUGUAAUUUUAUAUGAUUUCAACCUAAUGGUAAAGAGUGGUUAUAAUAUAUCCAGAUUAAUUGUAAAUAGACUCGUAUUCAAUAAUUAUAGUAAUUAAGAUCAACUUUUUAAUCAGCCCAAUAAAAUGUGUGGUCUACAACUAUAAGAUUCACACAAUAUUAUAGUAAAAUAGACUUAACAAUCAAGUGAUUAAAUAUAUCCAGUUACAUUAGAAUUGAUCUAUGACAAAAACAAUUUUUAGUCGAACUUUACUUUCAUUUUGAGGGAACCAACUUAUAUAAAUUAUGAUGGUUGUAUUGUAGGUGGCAAAACCGACUAUGUGCUACACAAAUUAGAAGCAAUGGAUGAAGCAAACUUGGGAUACAACUAUAGCAUUGUAGGAGGAACAGGGUUGGAUGAAAGUUUAGAAAAAGUUGAAUUCGAGACAAGUAUUGUGGCUGGCUCUGAUGGUGGAUCCAUUGUUAAGAUUUCAGUGAAAUACCACACCAAAGGUGAUGCAACUCUAUCUGAUGCAGUGCGUGAUGAAACUAAGACCAAAGGAACUGGACUUAUCAAGGCCAUUGAGGGAUACGUUUUGGCAAACCCUAAUUAUUAAGUAAAAUGUAUACUUGGUUGUGUUGUGUCAUACCAAUAAUAAUUGAAGUUUAUGAUAUGGUUGUUUGAUUUAUACAUCACGAUUUCUAGCUUAUACAUGUGUGUGGGCUUUGUUGUUUAAUUACAAAAAUCUAUGUGUUGAUGUUGAGGUUUUGUACCAUCUAUAAUUCUGUAAUAAAUAAUGAAGAAUUUUCUAGCACUUUUCAUUCGGUAUUUUAACUUUAUAUGCCUUGACCAUUAUUGGUACACCAAUUUCCUUUCCUCUUGUUAUCCUUUUUUUUUCUUUCUUUGGAUUUAUUUUUGACUUGUAACACAUAAAAACUCAACUCAUCACUAGCAUGCUUUGAAUUUUACUAUGGCUGAGAAAAAGUAAAAACAUAAUGUGAGUAUGAUAGAGAAAGUUGUCAUAUAAUGGUUAUAUAAAUAUUAUUUCUCUAUCAUAAAUGUAAAGUGGAAGAUAUUGAAUUGAGAGUGAUGAAAUUUGUAUGGGUCUUGUUAACGAGUGCCCCCGAGGGCACUCUUUAAGCAUACUAAAUUAGAAAAUUAUUCUUUAAAAAAUUCAAAUAAUUCAAUUUCCAAUGCAUUGAAUACAUAACUUUUCAUAAAAAGUUACUAUUUAAGACCCUUAAAGAGUGUCCCCAGGGCACUAGUUAACAUUUCUGAAUUAUAGUAUUAAUUAAGAUGUAUAAUUGAAAAAAGAUAGUUAAUUAAUAUUAUAUUAAAAAGUGAAAUUGAUCAUUCAUUUUAGAUCUUUCUUCUUUUUUACAAAUAAAUUACUUAUUGUGGAACAUGAGGAGUAUCAUUUAUGCUCAAACUAAUCAUGCAAACUCUAAUAUAUAUAAACAAUUAUAAAUCAAAUAGACUUCAAUUUGAUAUUCCUUGCACUCGAAUAAUUUGGUAAGAGACAAAUUAAAUAAAGGAAUUUAAGUUUUUAUAAAUAAUCAACAUGUUAUAAGAUACAAUUGUUUGAAAAAGAAGAAUGGUGGUUUGCGGGUUAGGGUCUCUUAGUUAAUCAUCUAUUUCUGUUUCAUGUUUUUUUUUUUAAUAAUUUAUUUCUGUUUCAUGUUAUUUACCAACUUUAUAUUAGUUUUUUUGUAACUUUUUUAGUACAACUUGUGCUGAAAAGAUUUUGGUUAAUGAUAUUCUAUUUUGACAUGCUAAAAAAAAUGAUGAAUGUGAACCCGUUAAAUAAGUAAACGAUAUAGUACAUAGGUUGCAUAUUUUUAAACUUUGCCGUCUUUGAAUUGAAUUCUUGAUGCUUUUGUCCAAGUCAAAUUUCGAUUUUUAAUUCCUUUGCCCAUCUCUUCAUCGGCCAAAACUUCUGAGCUAAUAAGUCAUUGAUCUAUAUCUAUAUAUCUAUCUAAAGAAAAGUCAUUGAGUUGAAAAUAUCAUUUUGAAGAUAUGCUCUACAAUUUAUGGUUUUGAAAAAUAAUACACGCUCUCUAAUAUGGACAGCUUUGUUUUACACACUUAUUAAUCCUACUUAUUAAAGGUGCUACUAGCUAGUAACAGAUGGGAAACUUUUUGUUUCAAGUUUACCAAAUUUAUUUUUGGUGAUAACAUUUCUUGGAACAUAAAGAUGAGAAUUUUAUUCUAAAAUAUUUAGAAAAAAGAUGUUUGCUUAACAUUAUAGUAUUCUCAGAAACCAUAAAAAUAAGGAUUAUAAUAGAUAAUUACACAUGAAUCUAUUCCCAUGUUCAUGGGAACUUUAUUCCCACUAGUUUCUGUGAGAAAUUUUUUCCAUUCCCAUAAACAUUUUAUACCUGCGAAUAAAAUUUAAUAAAUUUGUAACAAACAUAGACAUGCAUAUGUCUAUUGUUUUAUUCCCAAAAAUCUACAUAGAUAACUUGAAAUAAACGUACCCUUAAAUUUAAUUAUUUACUGAAAAGAAAAAUGUGAUAAGGAAUCUGUUUCUACACCUCCAGGAAACACUAUCUCUUUUUCUUUUACGGAUCAAAGCUACAUUAUUUAGUUCCGUAAAUACAAUUUGAAUGGUAAAAAAUUUAAAGAUAUUUGAUUAAUUGGAGUGCGAGUUUGAAUAUAUAAUUCUUCACUUUAAAUGUUUUAAAGUAGAAUUGAUUUUUUUUGUAAAAUUAAUUCUACUCAAAGCUAAAUGUCGAGGCACGAAUAUUGUUCAAUUCACUUUUACUUAAAUAUAAUAAAACAUAUAUUAUUUUACAUUUAAUCAGAAUUAACUGUACAAAAUUAAUUCAUUUAGAAUCAAAUUUUUGUUGUGUAGCAUAAACAAACACACACUAAAUUACGUAGUUUGAUUUCUUUAUUAAAAAAAAGAAAGAGUAAAAUGAUUUCAUAUUUUGUCUUCAUUCCCAUUAGUUUGUUAUUGUCUUUGUAAUAAAAAAAUUAAAAAAAAUAUUUUUUUUCACUACGUAAAAACUUCACGUAGAUCUUUUUAUCAUUAAUUAAUUCGUGCGUGGUUAUGUACGACUGAGUCUCCUUAUUUUAGGAUAACGACUUCAAAUCUUUCAUACAUCAAUCUUCACCAAACUUUAACGGUGUGUUUGGAUGUAAGAUGAAAAUGAAAAGUGAUAAACAGAUGAGAAAGAGUGUGAGAAGAGAGAAAGCGAUAAGCAAUACAAUAGAUUUGUAGCAUUGAUUAGUAUAAAAAUGAGAAGAGAAAUAUAAAAAAAAAAAACAGAUAUUUUAUUCUUUGAAAAAGACAAAAACAACCUCCAUUAAAAAUAAAAUAGUAAAAUAUCGCUACUAUAUUAUGCUAUCUAAAGUUUGUCAUAAAAAUUAUCCUAUAUUAUAAUUUAUUAGUAUAAUAAUAAAUCUCAUGAAAUAAAGUGAAAAAUUAUUUACUUUUUCAUUGUGCUGUAAAAAAGUACUCCAUGUUAAUCAAUGUAUAAAGCAUUUAAAAGAAAGGGGCAUAAUUGGAAAUAUGCAAUAAAUAGGUUGCUCUAUUGGACUUUCAGGAUUGAAAAAACUGUCGGUACCAAAAAUUAAUUCGAACUUGAAUUAUUUCUUUUAACGCAACUUUAGAUGGCUCCUUGUGACUUUAAUUAAUAAUAUCAAACAUUUAUCUUGUAAAACAAGGUAGGACCUACCAAUAUGUCACUUAGUCAUGGAUUUCUAGACUAAUUCACAUUUUUAGAAUCGAAUUCAAGAUUGUCGACAUCACAAAGAGAAUUGACCCAAUAAAUAAAUAUCAAAAUACUUGAGCUAAAUAAAUAAGUGAGAUUUUGCAAACAAGGUAGGUCCUACCAAAGUUCUAUAAAUAGUAACCCUCAAUGUGUUAUAAACCGCAUCACAAACUAAAAUAGUAGCAUUAUUCAUAUUAUACAUUAAUUUCUCCUUUCAUUUACUUAUUGCAUAUUGAUCCUUUUUAUCUUGAUAUAUAUCAUGGGUUCUUUUGUUUUCAUUGAUGAACAUGUCUCAACUGUGGCUCCAGCUAAACUUUACAAAGCACUUGCAAAAGAUGCUGAUGAAAUCAUCCCAAAGGUGAUUCCAGCUGCUCAGAGUGUUGAAAUUGUUGAAGGAAAUGGAGGACCUGGCACCAUUAAGAAGUUAUCCAUGUCUGAAGGUAAUUGAUUAAGAUUAUAUAACAUUUACACAGUUGAAUUUUUGGGACUAGAGUUGAUUGUUGGUAUAUUGAAAUGAGAUUCAACAAUCAAGUAAUUAACGAUAUCCAGUUACGUUCAGAUUGAUCAAUGACUUAAACAAUUUUUAGUCAAACUUUAUUUAAAUUUGAGGGAACAAAACUUAUAUAAAUUAUGAUGGUUUAAUUGUAGGUGGUAAAACCGACUUUGUGCUACACAAAUUAGAAGCAAUGGAUGAGGCAAACUUGGGAUACAACUAUAGCAUAGUAGGAGGAACAGGAUUGGAUGAAAGUUUAGAGAAAGUUGAAUUUGAGACAAAUAUUGUGGCUGGAUCUGAUGGUGGAUCCAUUGUUAAGAUUUCAGUGAAAUAUCACACCAAAGGUGAUGCAGUUCUAUCUGAAGCUGUACGUGAGGAAACUAAGGCCAAAGGAACUGGACUUAUCAAGGCCAUUGAGGGUUAUGUUUUGGCAAACCCUAAUUACUAGCAAAUUAAACAUUUGCUUUAAUAAUAAUUAAAGACUAUGAUAUGGUUGAAUGUGUGUUGGAUAUUUUGAGGUUUGAGUGUUGUUUUGAGUGUUUAAAAACAAAAACCAAUGUUGUGUUGGUGAUGAGGUUUUGCACCAUCUGUAUUAUGUAAUAAAUAAUGCAAAAGAAUUUUCUAGCACUUUCCGUUAUUUUUUUAGAGGAAUAGCACUUUACAUCAUUUUAAUUUAAUUUAGGAUAACAUCAAACUAAUAGUGCAUGUGGUUUUCAAUUGGUUGAAUUUUAAACUAACACUGUCUACGGUUCGAUUAUUUAAACAGUUUGGUUGAGUUUUGUCUUGAAUUGAUUUGAGCAAAUUAAAGCAAUUGAAUCAUGUUUUGAAAGUCUCAUCAUCUUGUCCAAUAUGAUUUUUAAAACAAAACCUACUGGUUUGAUAAACCGUUAAAAGGGAAUUAGAAUACAUCGAAACAACACAAAUUUUUAUGAUACUAAAAUUAAAGAAGAUAAAAUUGUGAAUACCUAUAAAAGUCUCACAACACCCUAAUUUCUUUUUUCUUUUUUAAAACACAUGUAAGUUAAUAACAUAAAAGGAUAAAAAUACCUAUAAAUACGACAAAUAAAGCAACUAAAAUACUAUAUGCAGAGCCUACCCAACAUUUUGGUAGGCCUAAAGUGAAUUUUUUAUUGAUGCUUUUUAAAGUAAAAUAUUAAACUUUGUUGAACCCAAGGUUUGAACCAAAGAUGCAGAGGAUUUGAGACCUCUUCUUGACGAACUAAAGUUAUGCAAGCAUUUAUAAUUAUUUUAUCAUAUUAUGUAUUUAUAUCUAAAGUUGAUAUGGUCAUUGCGUAUCCACGAGGAUUUGAGGCCUCUUUGUUGCUGCCUACCCACGAGGUUUAAUUUGCAAAAUCAUGGAGUCCAUUGUCUGUCACUUGUGUGGUUUGUAAUAAUGAUUUGAAAGAUCAAAUGCACAUGUUUAUGCACUGUAAUUUUGCUACUGAUUGUUGGAAAGAAGUAAAUCUUUGGGCAAGAUAAAGUCAUACAUAACGUCAAAUGAUAGUUUUUCAUCCAUUAUCUUUGAUAUUCUUGUAGCUAUUUAUUGAGUGUUUGGCAUGCACGUAAUGCUUGUUUAUGGGAGGAAAAACUUGUCGAUGCACAUACAUCUUGCGUCCUGGAAUUAGAUACAGUUCGAGAUUACGUGUGGUGUCAUCGUCUCAACGAUGUUGUGCAGUCUGCUACUCCAACUUAGUCCAAACUGCAGGCAGAUUGGAUCAAGUCUUACAUCGAUUGUGUUCUUUUUGAAGCUGAUGGAAAAUUUAGUGUUGGUAUCUGUUUUCGAGACCGCCUUAUCCAAGAACUAUUCCAUCCUAUAGCAAGAAGCUUAGAUAUUAUCUUAUAAAGCACAUUACAUAAUGAAAUUACCCUCCAUUCCUUCAUACUAGUUGGUUUUGUCACAUUUAGGAAUAAGGCAAAUAUUAUUAUCAUUCAAUUAAUGUGCUCGGAAAAUAACCUAUAUAUAACCACAUAUUCACAACUUCAAAAAUUUCAUCACUACAAAGAUUCCAAAACCUUGAAAAAAAAAACCCGGAUUAAAACCAUGAAGACUCGAUGACUUAUUUGAAUGCAUUUGAAAUAACGUAAGUUUCAGCUCCUCUUUAGUAAACGGUGCUAAAAUAAGGUUGUUGUUUGCAUCGGUUAUCUUUGGUUGAAGGUGACAACUAGGCUACCCAUGAAAGAAUGAUGGGUAAUUUACCCUAACCAAUACACAUUAGCCACAUAAGCACAUAUUCAUGAACUAUCUUGACCCCACAAAUAAAUUGUUCAUUUUCAUUGGUUGGUAGGUAAAUUACCCACCAUUCUUCAAAAGUAAUUUAAAAAGAACCUUGAUGGAAUCAUACCAAUCAUUAAAAUUUUCAAUAUCACAAUCAUUUACCGCCUCCUUAAACCCAAGAUAAAUCCAAUUAGGAUGGGAAUGUUGGCCUCGAAUAUUCUCUUGAGAUAAAAUAUCAUUAAAAUUUCUUAUGAUACACCAAGGCAUAUGAGACAUGUCCCUCAACUCUCUGAGACAUGUCCCUCAACUCUCUGAGCAUAUUCCAAGAAUCUCUUCUUCGACCUCCUUUUGGGUAACCAUAAAAAUCAGUUAACAUUGAUUCUCUUUUUAUUGUAUCUUCCACAAUUAAAUUGAUAUUGUUUAUAGAGUAAUUAAGAAUUUUACACAAGCUAUUAACUUUUCAUAUCACUGCUAUCUAGGGGUGGGAUUAGGUCGAGUCGGGCCAAACUUUACUUAAAUAGGUCAGAUCUAAUUUAAAAAGUUAAAGCCUAGGCGACCUAUUAGCUUGUCAAAGACUUUAUUUUAAGUCUAAGCUUUUUAAAAGUCUAGCCUAAUAUUGUCAAAAAGCCUAGUUUAUGCUAAGAAUUUUAAAUAGAAUAUCUGUUCUAUUUAUAAAAAGGCUAAUAAACAUAUAUUUCUUAGAAGAUUAAUAUGCCAAUAAAAUUUUGUAGAGCUUGUAUAUCAAUUUUGUUUCACUCUGUAAGCAUAUAUUGCAUGUAAAUCGAAUAUAAUUUGGUAAGGCCUCUACAUCAAUUGUAUAGAGGCUAUUAGCCAUAUAUGGGCCGAAAAUUUAUUAAUACAAUGGAGGAGUAUAUAUAUAUAUAUAUAUAUAUAUAUAUAUAUAUAUAUAUGAGGAGGGAUAUUUUGACUUCAAGAGUAAGUUUAUAGACUUAUUCCAAAUCUCCACCUUUCAUCUUAUUUUAAUCUAAUAGUUUAAAUGUGAGUUUUAAUUGUUAAUCAUGUGACCAUUUUUUUGGAUCUCAUUCUUAUAAAUAUUUUCUCCAUUUAAUCUCCCUUAUUAAUUAAUGUAAUAAAUACCUCCCCAAUUUUAUUUUAUUUUUUGGCGCACCUUUGCCAAUUCAAAAAGUGUUUUUUAAUCUUUUUCUCCAACAUUAGAGCAAGGUUGCAGUUUGAAAUAUAAAUUAAAAUGUAAGCUUUCCACUCUCACCUCUUGAACCUAUGGAUGAGAAGAUUUUUUUUAUUGAAAUGUAAAUCAAAAAGGAAAGAAAUGAGAUUGAGAGCCAUCAUGUAGAAUUGAGGUUGGAGUGAAACGGAGAGCCAUCACUCUAUAUCCUAUUGUGAUUUAUAUGAUUAUCCAAUCAAAGAAAUUGGGUGUAUACAAAAUCAAUUGGGUGAGUUAGGGUACAAAGCAUUAGGAGGAAAUUUUGUUGUUUUCUGAGAGUUAAAAUAAAUAAAAAAGUAAUUAAGGGAUAAAUGAAAUUUGUUUUAUGAGAAUAAAAUAAAAAAACUUAAAAGUGUGUUUAUGAGAGAAAGGAAAUUUGAUUUAUGAGAAUUAAUUAAGGGAGAAUAAUUGGAGAAGGUAUUUAGAUCCACAAAGAUGGUCAUAUGAUUAACAAUUAAAACCCACAUUUAAGCCAUUAGAUUAAAAUAAGAUGAAAGGUGGAGAUUUGGAGUAAGUCUAUAAACUUACUCUUGGAGUCAAAAUAUCCUCUCUCUCUCUCUCUCUCUCUCUCUCUCUCUCUCUCUCUCUCUCUCUCUCUCUCUCUCUGUAUAUAUAUAUAUAUAUGAGAUAUGAGAUAGAAUCCGUUGACACUUUAUAUUGACACCAAAUCAUAUCCCUUGAUUUCAUUUGAUCCAAUAGCUCCUAUUAAUUCACUUAACCUUGUACCUAUGUGUGAUGCACUGAACCACACCGUCGUCUUCAUUCUCACGUUAUACGUACGCCGUCUGCUAUCUGCAGUUUUCGUUCAUCUCUUCUCCCCUUGCACACCUUCACAAAUGCUUCAUCUAUAUUAUGUGUUGCUCCUAUCGAAAUUAAAACCCACUAUUCAAUUAGUGGUGGAUAUGAGUUAAAACCUUGUACGCUAAUUCUUCAAAUGGAUCCUCUAAGAUUAAUUCCUCAAAUUUUUUGAUUAGAUUUAUGAAAUCAAUAAUAAUUGGAUGACGUUAGAAAACCGAUGGACAUUAUUUAUUGAUUUGCUUCAAUUUGUGCAAUUUUAGGUGAGAAAAAGAAAUUGCAUAUCAGAAUGCAUAAUAUAAAAUAAAAAAUUGUGGGUUUGGUAAAAUGAAAAACUAUGUAAAUUAAAAUGAAAACCAAGAGUUGUUUCCUUUGUUUGGGUAUGGACAAGGAAGUAGCCAAGAUACAAGAGACAACAUUUUUCCAUUGUUGUUCCUGUAUACUUUGUUCAGCAAGAUUGAAAAGGAACAAAAAGAAAAUAAGAGUGCACAUUACAGUGAAAAAGGCCUAUGUUAGUUGAUUUAGUAAAUAAUUAUAAGCCUGUUACAGUGAAAAAGGCCUAUGUAAGUUGAUUUACUUUUUUUAUUCUGAUCUAUUUAAAUUAAUGGUUUUUUUAAAAAGCUUGAAUCUGACUUAUUUACUAAACAAGCUAAACCGGUCUGGGUUUUAAGUAAGUCGAGUUAUAAGCCCCUAACAAACGGUCUGGCUUAUUUUAGGAUUUAGGGUUUACCCAAAUGAUCCCUCCACUUCUCCCUUCAACAUAUAUAGCACAACAAGAAUCAAAACCAAACCUAACUCGUAAGAAUUCUAUAGUCAUUGCUUUUGCCAACGUCUCGUACAAAUAAAGAAUAUCAAGAUUUUAUUUUUGGUUAAUAAAAAGUAGUAAUGCUAAAGGAAGAGACAACCCCAAAAAAAUUAGCUCUAAUAUUUAAUGUAAUACUACUAUGCAUGUAGUAGGAAUAAAUGGGAAACGUAUGCUCUUUUUUUUUUUUUUUGUUACCUGGGAAACGUAUGUUUGAUUGUUUAUUGAAUAGUAGAAAAUUGUUGUAAAGGAAUUCUUUUUUCGACGUUAUAAAGGACUCUCUUUAUGCAUCUCCAAUAAACACUAUCUAUACUUUGUAAAAAGAAUACAAAAAUAAAUGUGAGCAUUGAUAGGGAUAUGAUAGCAUCUAGGAAUCGGGUUCCACCUUAGUUUCUUCUCCUUUAUCCAUUACUAACAUAUGAUUUAUGGUCAAUUUUCAACCUCAAAGAGCAUUCCUUUAAUAAAUAGUUUCCCGUUUUUUUUUUUAUUAUUUAAAUAAUCGAUUUUCACAUCUAUUUAGUUUAUUUCUCUAAUUUUUUCAUCAUCUUAGUGCGACGUUAUUUUGUUUGUCGUCUUUGUGUGACAUUGUUUAUCUUUAUUGUCUUGUUUAGAUGUUUGUUUCAUUCAUAUUGUCAUAUCAAGUUUGAUGCAGUGCAUGUUCAAUCAAUGAUUUAAAAAUUGUCAACGUUGUUGUGAGUUUGUUCGUGGAUUCAUCAAUUUUGUUUUUAGCAAAUUCAUAUUGUAUCGGUGUACUCUAUCAAUUUGAAUGAAUAAUAUCAUUUAUUACUAAAAAAAAGUACCGGGUACAAACUUUAAAUUUUCCGUUUAGUUAUCUUAAAGUGAAUUUUUAGCCACUAAAUUAUUUUAUUAAAAAAAAUCACUAUAUAUAAUGAUUAAAAUUAUAAGCGUAAUUUCAGGAGUGAACAUAGACCUUUAUUCAAAAGGGAAUGAACAUAGACGUAUAAUUAAAGGAGAACGAUAUUUCAUUGUCAUUAAUUUGUUUAUUGUCACUACGUGAAUAUUUUCUAAUUAUUUCGUGGGUGACUGCGACUGAGUCUAUUCAACAAAAAACAAAAAUCUACCGACUAAGUCUUCUUAUAAUUCCAAGACAUCGACUUUGAAUUUUUGAUACAACAAUGACCCAAUCUCACCCAAUCUUAAGAGUACUAUCAUAAUUCAUACAAAAUAGGUCAUAUUUUUCGGUCCUUAAAUAGGUCAUAUUAUAUUUUUCGGUCCUUAAAAAAAAUUGAUAUUUGAUUUUUUAAAAUUAAAUUAACAAGGGUAAAAUUGAGAUAAAAAGUGAUAAACUGUAAGUUAUAAGAUAUUUGAAGCAGCUUAAGAAAAAUGGUAUAAGCUCGAAAAAGAAAGUUAUAACUCGUGAGAAAACUUGUUUGCUAAAAAAAUAAAAAAUAAACUCGUGAGAAAAAAAAUUGUUAACAGACAUGUUUUAUCUUAGUCAUAUGAGAUCAUAAAUUAUAAAUUAUUUGUUAUAAGUGACAUUAACCCAAGAACAAUUUCGUAAUAGUGUAUAUAAAAUAAAAUCAUUAAUUAAUAUGGUAAUUCAGAAUAUUUUGAUUGAUUUUGGAUGUAAAACUGUUUUGGACCGUUAAUCUACCACUAUUAAACUCUUAAUACAUUACCAAUUUUUGUUAAUAUGCAAUUGCAUAAUAAAUUAUUUGUGAUUAAGAUAUCAACUGUUAAUUUCUCAAUUUACUGAUUACACGCUUUAGAAGAAUAAGUAAAUUAGCAUUUUAGUUCUCGGAAUAAUAAAGGACAAAUUAUUUAUUCACUAAAAUUUGUGAAAUAAUAAUUAAUCAAUUAAAUAAAAUAAUACUAUCAAUUAAUUCAGUUCCUCAUAUCUUAUGAAAAAUAAAUCAUCAACAUUUAUAAAAGAUUUGCAUGUUGACUUUUUUAAUUUGUAAAGUUCUAACAUAAAUAACGUGGUAAUUUGAAGUUCGAUAUAAUGUUAAGUGAAGUAUGAUAAAUGAUUGUUUUAAGUCAUGAUUCGAACUCAGUUUUUUUCGAACAAUUUAUCUUAAACAAAAGUUAAGUGAGCACUUCAGCUCAACCGCUCGACUGAAUUAUAUAUUAAUUUAUGUUUUUUAUACAAAAAUAAACGAUAUUCAUUCAUUUAAAUUGAUAUAGUACAUCGAUACAAUACGAAUUUAAAAUUGCUAAAAACAAAAAAGGAUGAAUCUACGAACAAACUCAGAGUAUCCAUGUUAAUAGCAUAAAACGGUAGAGUAUAUAUGCCUACAAAUAUACCUAUCAAGCCACUGAAAUACUCAUGUUUCGGAUCUGCAACGUUGACAAUGCAAAAGUCAUUGAUUGAAUCUGCAUUUGAUCAAAGCUAAUCUUUCAACCUGAAUCAAAUAAAAACCGCAUUAAGACAUGAAUAAAAAACACACCGCACAAAGACGAGAAAUCAAAAUAAAUAAAGUUGUGCUAGAUGACGAAUUCACAAAACCAACAAAAGAAAGGUGAAAAUAUGUGAAAAAUUACUUAUUUAACUAAAAGAGAAAGAGAAACAAUUCAUAGGGGUGAUUUCGUGUCAAAAUUGAUAGUAAGUCACACCUUUUUGGUAGAUGAAGAAGAAAAAAAGUCGUGUGACUAGGGUUUAGGAAAGGAAAAGUGAGAGAAUUUCUACCUUAUAUAAUUGAUUUUUUUAUGUUUUAAAACCAAGACAUUUUCUACACGCGACUACGACAACUAAUCUCUCAAUGUAAACGAAAUUCAUCGUAGAAGUUGUCAUCUCUCAAUAUAUAUUAUCUAUACACAAUGAUCAACAGAUUAAAAUAAUGACCACAUAGCCGAGAGACUCAAAUAAAUAUUCAUCAAUUUUGUUACACCAUAUUGGUAUAUAACUUUCAACUAUGUGGUGUUAAAGUCUGAAAACACGACUAAUUAACUAAUACACUUUAAAGUACUAAAGUAUUACUAUUUAACGAAUUUUAGGACCCACCAUGACACCAUUGCAAUAAUUUCAAUUGGAAAAAUAUUUAGCACCGUUUGGUCAGACUUUUUUCGGUCUAAAAAUUAUUUUAAAACAAAGUUAAAAUAAAACUCUUUAAGGAAAAAGUUAAAGUUGUUUGGUUUCUUUAUUUUUUUUAGUUUUUUUUUGAACAAGCCAAAAUGGAAUUAUAUAAACAAAAAGGCAGUCCCAAACGCACAAGGUGUGCCCUAGCGACUACCUCCAAAACCAAGAGUUACAAGAAUUACAACCAAGCCACAACAGAAAGACAUUAGCCAAUACCCAAACAAACAAGAGGGUUUGACCACCACUGCUGAGUUCCAAAAACAAAGGUAGCUUUUUUAACUUUAAGUCAACCUAAAGACAACAUCUUAAUCUUAUCUAAUAAACAAGGGAUGGGGGUAACAACAUGAUUAAACAGACGGUUAUUUCGUUCAUUCCACACAACCCAGGCACAAAGAAGCCAAAUAAGUUGCAUAAAAGAACGUCUAGCAACACCACCACCUGUCAAAUGAGUAAACUGUAAAAAAUGAUCGGAAAUAUUAUAUGUGUCCACCCCAUAGCAACCAAUCCAAUCACGCACCAGAUGCCACAGAGAGCCAAAAGUAUUACACAAUAAAAAGAGAUGUUGCACCGAUUCAGGAUGACCACAACCAGUAACACACGAGGACAUGUCAUGCGACAACACCCGUCUAGCAAUCAAAUUAGUCCUUGUUGGUAAACGAUCUCGGAUGAGCCUCCACACGAAAACGAACACCUUCAAGGGAACCUGUUUGUGCCACACCAAAUCCAAAGCAUAGUCCGCUACCUGAGGAACCUGAGAAGUCAACAAACUAUAUGCACCAUGAACAGUGUAACCACCAGAUGGGUCCGGAAGCCACACCCAGCUAUCUGAAACAUUAGGAUCCAAAGAAACAUCAAGAAUUAAAGCCCUGCACUCCUCUAGCAAGUCCUCAUCCCACUGCCAUAACCUACGUCUCCACCUCCACACAUCCCCCCACUGCUCCGAAUCAACAGAAAGCAAGUCCGCCACGAAUAUAGACUUAUUCUCUGUUAACUCAAACAACCGACUAAACCUCACACGAAGAGGAGCCUCCCCUAUCCACCUAUCGAACCAAAAUGAUGUAUCUGCCCCAUCACCAACUCUCCUCAACACCUGAUCCUCAAACCAGCCGCUACCACCAACACCAACCCUACCCCUAAGACGACUCACCUCCGACCACCAACAAGAAACUCUCCGGCCCCCAACCUGCCACCUAAUUCGCCAUAUCUGGCAACUAAAACCCUAUACCACAAAUCACCUCUAUCAACCAACAACCUCCAACACCAUUUCCCUAACAAUGCUAUAUUAAACUCCUUCAAUCUCCUCACCCCCAAACCGCCACACUCCUUUUUUAAACAAACAGUUUGCCAACUUAACCAAGAUAUUUUCCUAUUAUCCUCACUCCCCCCACUGCUCCGAAUCAACAGAAAGCAAGUCCGCCACGAAUAUAGACUUAUUCUCUGUUAACUCAAACAACCGACUAAACCUCACACGAAGAGGAGCCUCCCCUAUCCACCUAUCGAACCAAAAUGAUGUAUCUGCCCCAUCACCAACUCUCCUCAACACCUGAUCCUCAAACCAGCCGCUACCACCAACACCAACCCUACCCCUAAGACGACUCACCUCCGACCACCAACAAGAAACUCUCCGGCCCCCAACCUGCCACCUAAUUCGCCAUAUCUGGCAACUAAAACCCUAUACCACAAAUCACCUCUAUCAACCAACAACCUCCAACACCAUUUCCCUAACAAUGCUAUAUUAAACUCCUUCAAUCUCCUCACCCCCAAACCGCCACACUCCUUUUUUAAACAAACAGUUUGCCAACUUAACCAAGAUAUUUUCCUAUUAUCCUCACUCCCCCCCCCCCCCCAAAAAAAAAAAAAAUUAAUAAACAAAGAUUCAAUAGAGGAGAUUAUACCUGAUGGAGCUUUGAAGAAGGAAAGUGCAUAGACAGGCAAAGAGGUCAGGACAGAUUUGAGAAGAACCAAGCGACCACCAAAAGAUAGAAACCGACUAUUCCAACCUGACAGUCUAGAUUUAAUACGAUUCACAAUAGGUUCCCAGAAACACAAUCUUCGAGGAUUACCACCAAUAGGCAUACCCAGAUACAAGAAAGGAACGUUACCUACUUUACAACUCAACACGGAAGCAGCCUCAUGUAACCAAGACGACGCAAUAUUCACCCCAACAAGCAUACUCUUAUGAAAAUUCACUUUCAACCCCGACAUAGCCUCGAACAACACAAGGGCCGCCCUUAAAGCACGAACAUUAGCCCAACUUUUAGUUCCUAACAACAAAGUGUCAUCAGCAAAUUGGAGGUGAGAUACAACAACCGGAUUAACCACCCCAAUGCUAUAGCCAGAGAACAGUUGAGCCUCAACCAAAGAUUUCAUCACAACAUUAAGACCCUCCGCGGCCAACAAAAACAAAAAAGGAGACAAAGGGUCACCUUGUCUUAACCCUCUCAUCAACGGGAAUUCAUCAGUUGGACUUCCAUUAACUAAGACAGACGCUGUGGCAGUGCUAACACACUCUUUGAUCCAAUUCCUCCAACGGGAAUUCAUCAGUUGGAAUUCAUCUUUAAAAGUUGUUUGACAAAAUAUUGUAUACCAAAUUUUGUUAUAAGAAUAUCAUAUUUUUGGUGUCAUUUAAAAAGAUAAGAAUUUAUAUUAUAUGAUAUUAUAUUUGUUACAUUGUUGGUGUCAUUGAAAAAGAUAUGUUUAGUUUUUUAAUAAGAAAAAGAUAUGCAUAGUUUGUUACAACAUAAAUGUGUAAAGUAUAUAUAAGUAUAAUUUUUUAGGUAUCUAUACUAGUACUUUUAAUUAAAAUCAAAAUUUUAUAAAAAUAAUAAUUGUACGCAUUGCGCAACACUGAAAAAAUUAUACCCAUUAGCAUAACAAAAAAAAACAGACAUACAGACAUAAAAUAUUACUCUAAACGCUAAUGUGUGUGUGUAUAUUUGUGAGGUUGAAAAAAGGGAAUAAAAAUAUUUGGUGUCAUUCAAUGACAGCAUGAAUAAAAAUAUUUGUGAGGUUGUGAUAAUUAAACGAUAUUAAAAUUAAAUAUAUAAGUGAUAAAAAGAUAAUAAAACUCCUUCAAAAAUAGAUAAUUAAAUUGAUCCUCCUUUAAAAAAAAAUUAUAUGGACCGGUUCAAAAAAAAUUAAAUUGAAGAAAAAACAAAUUGAAAUAUAAUAUUAAAAAAUAAAAUAUAAGGUUGCUGCGUGAGUUGAAGAGGAGUGCUUGUGAAAUAAAUUACAAAGAAGUAGUUUUUUGAAGUAGCAUUCAACAACUUUUGGUUAAAGCUCAUUCCAUUCAAAUUUUAUGCAUUCUAAAAAAAGUACUUUUUUUCGAAGGUAUUUUAUUGAUAUUGUGUUUGGCGUAGCUUCUCCUUAAAAAUGUAGAAAAGUUGAAGAAAAAAAAAAAGUCGGGUCAAACAGUACUUUAAUAUACUCAAUUAAAGUUACUAAUGUACUGGCAAGUAACUUUUAGAGGAAGAUUUUCUUUUUUUAAGGAUUUUAGAGGAAGCUUAGCAACACACUUUUAAUAUACAUUUUUCUAGAAUUUUUUUUUAUUGAUUAAAAUUCAUAUAUAUCCUCAUAAAUCAUGUGGAUUUCAUAUAAUAUAAUAGAAGACACAAAUUUUAACCGACAAAUAGAGUGUAAAAAAUAGAGAAAUGAUAUUUGUACAACCACUUUGUGAUAAUUUUUGGACAAUUUUCUCUCUCAUACUCAUAUUAUAUUCUUACUCUCUUCUUUUUUCUCUCUCCAUUAUUUUUGACCAAUGAAAAGAGAGAAAAGAAAGAUUGUCAAAUAGGUUGUACCAAAUGGUUGUUCAAAUAGGUUGUACCAAAUGGUUGUUCAAAUAUCAUUUCUUUAAAAAAUAUAAGCAUUAAAGAGUUUGUUGUUAACAUUAUUUUAAUUUUUUUUAUGUAAUCCACACUUUGAGUCAUGGAGUGCUUUACUAAUUCAUUUUGUUUUUCGCAACCCAAUUCAAGAUUGUCUAGAAACAAAGAGGACUGACCUAAUAAAUAAAUAUUAAAAUAAGCUACUUGAGCUAAACAAUGAGAUUUCCAAACAAGGUAGGUCCUACUCAAGUUCUAUAAAUAGCAUCCCUCACCAUGUCAUAAACCGCAUCACAAGUUAUAUACUAGUUGUAUUUUUAUUAUAUACUUCUCCUUUCAUUUUCUUCUUGCAUAUUAAUCUUCUUUAUCUUAAUAUAUAUCAUGGGUGUUUUUACUUUCAAUGAUGAACAUGUCUCAACCGUGGCUCCAGCUAAACUAUACAAAGCUCUUGCAAAAGAUGCUGAUGAAAUCGUCCCAAAGGUGAUUUCUGCUGCCCAAAGUGUUGAAAUUGUUGAAGGAAAUGGAGGACCAGGAACCAUUAAGAAGUUAUCCAUUGUUGAAGGUAAUUAAGAGCAUAUACGACGUACAAAUAUAUAAUACUUAAGAUCAAAUGAUACAUAGUGUUCACGUAAAAUUGUUUUACACCGACAACCAAUCAAAUUUAUCAGUACAACAAAGAAUUGUGUAACUACCUUUUAUUUAAAAAUUGAUAAAUAUGAUGUGACAAAUUGAAGAGUUGUGAUUGAUUAAAUGAUUCACAAAUAACUAAGUUAAAUUCAUUAUACCAAAUAAAAGUAAGUUAAAUUCAUUAUACCCAAAAAAAAAAAGUAAGUUAAAUUCAAGUGUAUCAAAAAAAGUCAUUCAAAUCUAUUUGGAUAGUUAUGGUAGUAGCCAUUUAUGUUAUACUUUUAUUUUUAAAAUAGAAUCUUGAGAAAUGAAGGAGACAAUACAUAAGCUCGUUCCAGGAGUAUGUCUAACAAUUAUGGACCUUCAAAAACAUGAUUCAUGUGAUUAACGAUACUCGGUAAAGUUCAAAUCGAUCUUUAAAUGAAAGAGUUUUUAGUUAAACUUUACUUGUAUCGAAAAAAGAAUUAUAUAAAUAAUUAUAAUGGUUGUAUUGCAGAUGGCAAAACCAACUUUGUGCUACACAAAUUAGAUGCAGUAGAUGAGGCAAACUUUGGAUACAACUAUAGCUUAGUAGGAGGAACAGGAUUGGAUGAAAGUCUAGAGAAAGUUGAAUUCGAGACAAAAAUUGUGGCUGGCUCUGAUGGUGGAUCCAUUGCUAAGAUUACAGUUAAAUAUCACACCAAAGGUGAUGCAACUCUAUCUGAUGCAGUGCGUGAUGAGACUAAGGCCAGAGGAACUGGACUUAUCAAGGCCAUUGAGGGUUACGUUUUGGCAAAUCCUGAUUAUUAAAUGAAUCUACACUUGGUUUAAUUUUGGUUGUAUCGUGUCAUGGGAAUAAUAAUUGAAGUUUAAGAUAUGGUUGUUUAAUUACAUGAGUGUGGUAGUGUCGGGUUUUGAGUGGUGUUUUGGGUGAAUUUGAUUGGGUGUUUAAGUUCAAAAUCUAUGUGAUGAUGUUGAGGUUUUGUACCAUCUGUAUUUCUUCAAUAAAUAAAGCAAAAGAAUUUCGUAGUACUACUUUCUCUCAUUCUAUCUAUAAAACGUUAUUUAAUAAGCCUACAUGCACUAUACUAUAAUAAAGUCAUUUUCAAGAUCCCACUACUUUGAAGACAAAUACGACCAAACACUAAAAAGAGUCACAUCAUAUAAUGACAUUCACGUAAAUUUUAUCCAAUGUCAUUGUAAAAUAAAUUUUAAAAAAAUAAUAAUUACUCCAUCCAGCCUCAAGUAUAAGUAAACAGUCCACAUAUUUAGUUUAGUCUAAAUUAGACCAAGUAGGGAGUAUUCAUUUGAAAAUGUAAUAUUUAAGACCAUCUCCAACCAUGAAUCAAUGAGUUCGUUGACUCAUUUUGACGGACAUGAAACAUCAACUUUAAGAAUUUUAUCAUAAAUCAUAGGUUUUUAAUUCCAAUGGUGCAUUCACUAGUCUAAAUUGGGAGGAAAAUAAAGGGUUGAAUGGUCAUAGGUUUUGUUAAUGAGUUGAGUGAAAAUACAAGAGGUGAAAGUCUAGCUUAACCACAUAAAUAAACUUGAAGUUUGAAUUAAGGAUACAAGUAAAACUAUUAGUCAACAAUUCCAUCUCAACUUGUUAACUGUAUGAUUAUGCUGCUGAUUAGAUCUAAACGAGAUAAACUCAAAAUUACAUAGCUCCAAAUAGUGGGAAAUUUGGACCAAAUAACCUCCAAAAUGCCAAGAAAAAAUCUGCAUAGGUUAAUUUUCUACAAUCUGUAAAAAAAAAACAUGGUGCCAGUUGCAUACUGCUAAUAUUUAUACAGACAGAUUUAGCAGAAUUUGACUGAAGACAAAAUGUAGAUUGAAAUUCUUGCAGAGCUUAAACCUUAAAUAGAUCAGGAUUAAAUUGGAACCUAGUUAGUAGUUAGUAUCUCUCCAUUAACCUCUACCAGCAUAAUUAUAUCACAAUUGAGACAUUGAAGAGCUAGCGACUGAUUAGGCAGUGUCCCUCAUAAUCUGCAAGAGAAGCAAUGUUUCAGAAAAAAUAUACGUAACAUUAACAAUAGUAAUGAAAUUCAAAACACAUGACAGUAUUUUUAUUAAUGAAGAGUAAGUUAUAAUACCAUUCAACAAAACACGAGUUAUGACAUAUUCCUUCAGUUUGCUUAUUUUAGACUAUAAAUCAAAUUUUAUAACUUCUGCUAUACUAUAGAUACCACUGCAGUGCUACUUCAGAGACAGUAUAUGAAAUUUUAGAACUUCUGGUGUACUAUAUAGCAAUCCUGAACAUUCGGUGUUCUAUUUGCUUCAGCUAUUUUUUCAAUACGGACAACAGUGUUCAGCAACAACUUAAUAAACUAAAUAGAAAACAUUCGUCAAUGCUAGGCUAGACCUCCACUAAAAGUAAUAAAUAUUGGACAUCGGCAUUUAUCCCAAUGAAUAUGAAGAAGAAAAAGAAAAAGGAAAAAAAAAAAAAAGAACUGGACAUAAAACGUGCAUAAUUGUCUACCAAAAAAACAAAAUUUGCAUAAUUUACUUUUCAAAACACUACCUGAGAUAUAUAUUCUUUGACCUUGUUAUUUAUGGGUCCAUCUGAAGCUCUCUCAGCAAGCUCAUAAUAUAUGAUAUUGCCUUCAGGACCAUGAACUUUGUCCUUCUGUAAAUACCUACACAGCAAAAGAUGAAUUAUGAAUAACUUCAAUGUUCAUUGUUUUUUUAGGGAAACUAUGUGUGUCACAGAAUGCAAUGAAUCUUGUAAUUUAAUUUCACCUUUGCUGAACAAGAAGUUCCAAUGUUUGUUUAAUGUUUCCAAGGAUAGGAUGAUGUGCUUCAGUGUCACUCAAACUCAUCCUAUUCAAUUGGCUCCACAGGUUUUCUGCAAUAUCAAGCCAUAUCAAGUUCCAUUGUGUUAAAAUGGCAGCAUCACAGAUCUCAAUUACCCUUGAAAUUUUAAAUAUCAGAACCUUGUAUAGUUAUAUUUAUUGCAUUCAUCUAGAGACCUUAACCUAGCAAAAUUUGAUUUCCACAAGUUCAACAAGUGCUUAAGAUAAUUAUAGCUCAAUGCAACUUAAACUAUACCUUCUGGAAUUUUGCCACCAGCAAGAUGUACAAUACUAAUUAUGACAAACGUGAAACCAGACAUGUGCGCUGAAUUCGCAUCCACAACAUAUUUUUCAUAUAAAUCAGAAGGAAGUCGACUAAUGAGAAUAUAUGAUUUGGCAUCCGCACUACCUGAAAGAUCACAUGUCAUAAGCUUAUAAUGAGAGAAAAAGUAAAUGAAACAAGGAAAACACAGUUGAAAAACUCUAAGGAAUGCAAACAUAUCUUUACAAGUAAAAAGCAACGUAGAACACAUUUACUCAUUCACUUCAAAUCUAUGUACAAAACACGUCCAUUGAUUUAUGAAAACAGUAAAAAAUAUUUGAAUGAAAACUUAAUUCUCUAUUGUCUAACCAUCGGUAAGUUUGUAUAUAGACAGCCCGACCAAAAGGCGGCCCAAACUAUUGUUGUAGACUUGUAGUAAGCCCACAAGAAAAAAAACUUAUUUAUGUAUUAUUAGUAUAUACAGAACUUUAAUCCUUAGCUUGUCAAGCACAAUGGUAAUUCACAUUUGCUUUCUCUUAACUUUGACUUGACACAAAAUGACAAAUGUUGCCUCUGCUGGAUGCAACUCAUGAGAAAUCACAAAAACACCUCAUUGGAUGGUGUUUCUCCAAAUCAACUUUUGUAUGUGUCUUACCUCACGAAUGUCAUAUAGAACCGUGGAUUAUGUAUGCUAUUUCUCUGGGAAAAAGGUUUUAUUAAUAUAUACUAUAUACAAAAGCAUCAAUAAACUAGCAAGAAAUACAUUAGUAAAAUAAAUUUUCUGCGGUGGAACAAGUCCUGUGAUUUCAAUUUUCAUGCAUUAAAUCCCUCGUGCUGUAUAGCAGCGCUCACCAAAAUAUACUUUAGUAAGACCUCUGAAUUUUGUUACUUGUUUCUAUCACUUACUUUUUGAUCUAAAAACUUACUGUAUUUAUUACUAGCAUUCACAAAACUUUCAUCCUUAGCUAGCAUAGAGCAAUGGUAACCAACAUGUACUCUUUUAUGGGAUCUGAUCCCUGCUUGAUCAAAAACCAUGGCUCCUGAUUUUCCUUUUACUAUCUCACAUGUUAUUAGUUUUAAUAAGGUUUUACAUUACCUAAAAACUUAAAUCACAAAGCAUAUCAAUUGUUCAUAUAAUAUACAUCAUAAUGCUAAAGCGAUGUCCCAUUAUUAAAACAUUGACAAAACUGAAAUCAACAGACUAAGAAAUUCAGAUUGUUACAUCAUUAUGUGCAUAAACUGGGCAAGAGAAAAACUCACUUUGUGAAGCACGUGUCUGAGAUUUUGAUGAUGGGACAGACCUUGAAAGCUCUCUCAUUUCAUAACCAAACACGGCGGCAAGCUUGUCCUUAGCCUCAUUGAUGACAAAAGUAGGAAGGUUACGCUGAUGAUAAUUCUUCGUAAUAAGCUGAGUGAGUUCGUCUCUCUUAAUUGGGCACCCUGAGUUUUGAUGGGUCUUGAACAGCAUGUAUCGGAUAACCUCUCCAACAAGCUUAUCCUUUUCCUAAAAUACAAAUCAAAAUCAAAUCAAACAAUCAAAUACCCUUGUUCGCAAAAAACGAUUGUGACUUUUUCAAAGGAAGAUUGAACACACCUCUUUAGAAAUUCCGAAUUGGGAGAAAUCUUCAAUGUUGUUCGCCAUCCUGCAAGCAUUGUUAUGAUAAAUUUCAAAUUUGGUUUUCGAAUUCAGAAAGAACCAAUACAAAAAUAAAAUGAAAUGGGGAAAGACCGUAGUACCAACACUUCUGAUUUGAGACGUGUUCGACACGUGUUAGCACAGACACCGACAAGACAUGUGAUUGCAUUAAAUUAUGUCAUUUUCUCAAAUAUCGAUUAAUUAACCACGAAAUAGUGAUUGACUAACCAAACCAGGCAUAAUUCAUCGACAUUCACAUCACAAAACAACAAAUCAAUGUCUAAAUUUGGCUUAUCAUAAUUCAUAAACAAUUCUGAAACAAGUUUGGCUUAUCAAAACACAUAUGUACAAAGCAAUUUUCCUAUUCCCAAUUCUAAAACCCUAAAACAAGCAAUUGGAGAAUCGAUUGGAAAAUUCAAAUAGGGUUAUUCCGCAAAACAAAUUAGGGUUCAAAUUUUAAGAGCCAAAUCAAAUUCUAAAACUUGGGGUUUGAGAAAUUAGCAAAACUAUAAUGAAUUAAUAAAGCAAAAGGGAAAAGAAGAAGUAAUGAAAAAAGAACUCACGGUGGAUUCAAGUGUGCCGGAAGGAGAGAAGCAGAGAAGUAUAUCUAAGUACACUGGCGGGAACAAUUCUGUCUCUCCCUCUCGCUAUCAAUCAAUUAACUUAAAACAAAAAUGAUUUAUUGUAACUUUUUAGGCAUAUUCAAUCAUCCGUCCUUUAACUUAAUUCUCAACUCGGUCUCCUAACUAUAAUUUGUUUCAAUUUGGUCUCAUAUAUUUUGUUUUGUUAUUAGUUUUAGUCAUUUCUGUUAGUUUCUCUAAAAAAACGUUAACAGAAAUGAUUAAAAUUAGCAACAGAGCAAAACAUAGAGGACCAAAUUAAUACAUAGGUUAACGUUUUUCUAGAGAAACUAACAUAAAUGACUAAAUCUAGUAACAGAGCAAAGCACAAGGGACCAAUUGAUACAAAUUAUAGUUAGGGAACCAAAUUGAAACAAUCAAUUAAGUUAAGGGACCGGAUGAUUGAAUAAGCCUAUUUUUUAAUAAAAGUUUGGGUUAUUUUUGACACAAAUUUUUACACCAAAAUAUUUGAGAACACUCGAAUAAAAAGGUAAAAAUGUCUUUCAAUUUAACUAGAGAUUAGUGGUUUAAAUCCAAUUUUGAUAAUGCAACAAUGAUAAUAUGAAGGGGCUAUGCUCCCACCUAGGGUUGGGAAUAGCUUAUGUCGAGUUAGGUUUUGCGAGACCUAAGUUUAGCCUGUCAAAUUUUUUCAAGGGUUAAGUCUGAUUUUUUGAAAGUCUGAUAUAGCAUACUAACUUGUUUAAAGGCUUAUAUCGUAUUAACAUUUUUAAACAAGCAAUGCAAUCUAAGUUUAAAUAGACUAGCAAUCAAUAUAUCGAUUAGAUUAAUCUCUCUUUUGAUAAUCAACAUCAGUUUUUAGGGAAUUCGACUAUAUACUAUAUUAUAUUUCAAUUCAAAUUUAUAAUAAUACAUUUAAAUGUGCAAAAAAUUAAUGUAUACUAAUAAAAUUAAAUUACUGAAAAAGUUAACUAAUUCAUAUUUUAAUUCAAAGUACAAAAUAUAAUAUAUAAAUAAUAAUAUUAUUUAUAUUUACUUAAAUAGAUCAGUCUAAGAGGCUUUUUGAAUGGCUUAUGACCUAACCUUUUAAGUUAAAUAGGAUUUUAAAAGAGUCUAGGCCUUCUCUAUUUAAAGAAAAAAAAAGUUUGAUUUAAUUUGUCGUAGACUAAACCAUAGACUCUUGUAGGUUGACCUGAUAUAUUUUCAUCCCUACUCCCACCAUCCUUUGUUGCCGCUGAUCAUCUUUUGCAGGUACAUCAAUUUUAUAUUUUAUUCUUAUAAUUAGAACUAAUAAAACACCGGUGCGAUGUCACAUAAAAAUAAUUACAUUAAUAAUAUUAUAAAAUAUUUACAGAUAAUAAUUGAUAAUUAUCUGUGUUCAUGUAAUGUUUAUAAUAAAAAAACAUACGCAAAAACAUUCAAAAAAAAAUAUACGUAAAAAUCCGUUAAAUAUUUACACCGUGUCCGUUGUAGAUUUUAAUGUCUAUAUUUGCGAAAUCAAAUUUUUAUGUAUCGAUAUAAGUUGCGUUAGAAAUAUUAUACUCUACUAUACAAACAAAAGUUAGGUCUUUUUAUUAAAAAAAAUGGUUAGGUCAUUAAUAUAAACAAAAGUUAGGUCUUUCUAUUAAAAGAUGGUUAGGUCAUUAUAGAGUUUAGUUUUUUAUAUAUAAAAAAUUAUUUUAUUUUAAGUACCAUAAUUUUAAUAAAAUCUGAAAGCUCUUAUAAAAAUAUUUUACCAAACAAAUCUUAACUUAAAAAAUACAAAUUAAGUUGGAAAAAAACAACAAAUGUCACACAACUUUAACUUUAACUUAAGUUUUAAUUUUAAACUUUAUUCUUAAAGUAACUUUUAGACCUAUAAAAAAGUAGGAUCAAAUGCACCCUAAAUACUACCUAUGUAAUAGUGUAAGAAAGAAUUGCAACGAAGUGCAGCUUAUCAUCCUAAUAUAGUUCAUUUAAAGAAGCAUUCCUUUAUUGAAACGUAACGUGGAUGCAGCUCUUUUGAAUAACAAGGUUGGUAAUUGGUAUCGCUAUGUGUGUUAGAGAUUAUGAGGAUAACUUUGUCGAGAUUAAAACACAUUUUUUACUCCAUCUCUUCAAGUCAAAGAAGGAGAGGCCUUUGGUUAGUGUAAACUAUCAAAAUAGAUUGGUAAAUUGAGGCUUAACACUGUUAUAUAUUUUAUGCAAAAUCAGUAGUGGAUAGCUUUAAUAAUUUAUGUUUGGACUUGUCUAUCUAUGGUUUCAUCAUUUAUGUUCAAGCUCGUUAGUUGAUUCUCUAGAAGGAAGGUCAAUAAGGUAGCCCGUUACAUGAAUAUUUAUUUAGGGACGAUUAUAUAUACGAUUAAUCCUCCAGUAAUUGAUUUGUUGUCGGAUUGUAUUGCUACUGAUUUUUUUAAGCAACCAAAGUCAAAAUAUAUUUAAAAAAUCCUCAUCAAACAUAAGGUGUGUCUAACAGGAAUAAGAACAAAGUAUCAAAUACAAAAUAAAACUGGCCAAAAACCACUGAUACAAGUUACAAAAUAAUAUAUCCAACCUAGAUUGACAUGUUAAAUUCUAUCGAGCAAUUAUAUGAAACAUGUUGUAAGAAAAUAGCACUAAUAUAAAAUAUAUGUAAUCUGCAUAAAAAUAAAAAAAGUAGUGGACAUUUAAGUCUCACCAUAUAUGUCUAACACAAGUCCUCCUCUUGACCAACCGUCUCUAGUUUAACUCAUCUUAAUCUAACAAAAAAAAAAAUUCAAACUAAUCAUAAACACUACUCCAUCCGUUUCAAAAUGAGUGUCAUUUUAGCCAAAAUAAAUUUGUUUCAAAAUAAAUGUCACUUUCAGUUUCUAAUGCAAUAAUAACUUUUUCUUUUCAAUUGUACCCUUCAAUUAAUGUUAUGUUACACUACUUCCAAAGUAUUAUUUUUUAUUUAAUGAAAAACAAACCAAUGGUUGAUUAGGAUAAUUUAGUAAAAUUAUAUGACAUUUGACUACUUUCUUCCAUUCCUUAAUAUGUGUGCAAUUGACAAAAACGACACUCAUUUUAAAAUGGAGGGAGUAAUAUUUUGCUAAAAUUAUAAAAUAAAAUAAAAAAAAACCUAUACAAACUACAUUGUACUAUACUUACUUUUGAUUUUUUUGGAGUAAUUUGGAUGAAUUUCGUGAAAAUGAGCUGGUGAUUUUGGUAGAGUUUGAAGAUUAAAUGAUUCUGCAGAAACUGAAGUUUCUGCCUCUGUUAUGUUUUAGGUCGCAACGGUAGUUAACCACCACUGAAAAAUAAAAGCAAACGAUAGUUUACUACCGCCAAAUAGAUCGCAAUAGUAGUUAACUCAUGUUAGGGAUAUUUGCGCCAUUUCAAUGUGUUUUAAUUUUAAGAAAUUUUCAAUUUGAGAAUAGCAAUUUUCAAUGAUUUAUGCAUGUACAUAUGAAAAUUUGACUUAGGCCCAACAUGAGCCCAAAUCUAAACUCUCAUACAAUAAGAUUUAAAAAAUUGCUCUUUUCCCACAAAAAGUUACUCACUUCCAACCAAACUUUCUAAAAUACCCUCAUGUGACUUAAGUCACUCUGAAACUAUUUUUUUUUUUUUUUUUUUUUUUUCAGUUCAAGCAAAACUCGUCGUUCUAGAACAAGGUUACAACUUACACCAUCACCACCAUACUCGACGGUCACAAACUUCACAUAAACCCAGUCGGCAAUAUCCAAUUUUUUAUUAUUAUUAUUUAAUUUAAAAACCUUGUUAAUGAUGAAAUCCAUGUGAGACUGUUCUAAUUGAUGCAAACUUAACAUUUUCUAACUCUACAAUAUCCAAAUUCUGAAUCCAGCAACUAUAGCAAACCUAACAUUCUAAAUCGACAACAGGUGCCAUCAAAUAGUAAUCAUUCAAUUUUGAUGUUUAGCUUCGUAUAAAAAAUAUGGAAUCAAUUGAGUUGUGUUGCUAACGGUGAUGUUUAGCUUCAACGUGACUUAAGUCACAUUGUGUUUAUCAUCCGCAUGAUUUAAGUUCACAGGGGUAUUUUAGAAAGUUUAGUUGAGAGUAAACAAUUUUUUAUGGAAGAAGAGAAAUUUUUAAAGGAUUUUCCUAUUUUCAACAAAGUCAUUAUUUCAAAGACAAGGAACCAGAUAAACCUAAAUUACGUUAGUAAUCAUCCAAAUACGAUGAUGUAAGAAAAUUAGAGAAUUCAACCACCAACAUCUUUGAUAAUUUUAUUUAGGAAAGCAUCUUUGAUAUAUGUCCACCACCAACCUCAAACAUAUCCCUAAUUUGAGUAUGUCAUUUAUAUUAUACUCCAAACUAAUUUAACAUGCUUGCCAACCUUAAACUACAAAUCAAAAAAGGAAACCACACGUAGUAAAUACUAUUGUUCCCACUCAUACAGUCUUCAAUUUUGUGAAUUUUUUUUCCACAUGCAAACCCACAUUUAAUUCCUAUGUCAACCUCUAUAUUACUAUAUCCCUUCUAUUUGAUUAAUACCAGUCAACAACCUCACAUAGUGAAAAUUUAAUACUAAGCUAUGGCAAAAUUUUAAUACCAUUGUUCCCACAUAGUUUCAAUUUUGUAAAAAUAAUAUUCCUCACGCAAACCCAACUUUAAUCCAUUCACUUCACAUUUAAGGAAAACAGUAGUUCCAUAAAUUGGAACAAUGUUGUGCCAAUUCAUUCCAUGCAAUCACACAAAAUAAAAGAAAAUCUCAUUGAUAUAAUAUAAGCUAUGGCAAAAUUCAUCUCUGCUUCUUUUGUUUUAGUUCUUCUUGUUGUGACAACUAUGAUCAAUGGAGCCUAUAGUGCUGAAAGAGAGGAUGAUUUGGUGCCGUUGCCGCCUGGUGAAGCGGAGCAAUUAUGUGAUGAUUGGCAUCAGUUAUGUUCAGAUGAUCCAGUAUCUAAUUCUGCCUAUUGUGACCGGUACAAAUUGUUUUGCUCAAUUGCACCUAAUGGUGGUGAUUCUCCUCCUCAACCUGAAAGUACUCUUCCAUGAUCAUUCUUAGUGAACAUGGCUGGUGUGUCUUAAUGAUAUAUCUAUAUCUAUAAUAAUGUUGUGUGAGUGUGUGAGCAUUAUAAUAUCAAUAUUAUGUAGCUAAAUAACCUUUAUGGGAGGCUUGUGUGAACUUUGGGUAUGUCUGCUCCAAAUAUGUAGUUUUACUUUUAUAUACUAUAAACUAUUUGUAUUACAGUGUCAUGUUAUAAAUUACUAUAUGAAAUAUUGGAAUAAAUUGGUGUACUUUAUUUUGUAGGGAUAAUCUGAAUAUAUAUUGUCUUAUCUUUAUUUUAGUUUAUAUAAUCAAUUUUUUUCAUUACCUAUAUGAACACCAUAUACAAACGAGUGUGAAA